rnacentral:lncRNA from 1 species
UUUUUUUUUUUUGCUGAUUUUUUCUGUUAAAAGCAUUUGAUUGAAUCUCCAACGUUUUUGUUUCAAAUUAUGGAUGAUUUUUUUUUCUUAACCGGCUUACAUAUCAAUUUUAUAUAUUUUAUUGUAUUACUCAUGAAUAAUAUAACUAUUGAUUAUUAUUAUUUUUUAUUAAAUUUCACAAAAAAAAGGUGAGCUAAGAAUUAUUACUAUCUUAAAAUAAAAUUGGGGAGUUUAGUAAUCUCUUAAUUUUUAAAUUAAAAUUGGUGAGUUUAGCAAUCUCUUAAUUUUAAGUGAAAAUUUAGUAAUAAAUAAAAUCUCUUUGUAGUCAAUUCUCUUUAAAAAUUAAUCUCUUCCAUUUAUGGGCCUUAGUCAACAUGUCCGUUAGGCUCAAUUAUAAUGCAAUAAUAUGAGAUGCAGGCCUAUACAAUAUGAUGCGUACUUUUUUCAUCUGGCCUCAUUUAAAGUGUUCACCGGUACCGGAACCGGAACCGGAACCGGAAAAACCAGUCACUAUAGAUAGUAUAAGUAGGGGUUAUUGGAUUAUUGAUUUGAAUAGAAUUAGAAAUCCUUAUAACAUUUGGAAAUUCACACAUAAUUCACUGAUUUUAAAAUCAAAUAAUGUGGAUUUGAAAAUCAAAUAAAGUUGAUUUUAGGAGGGGUUAUUGGUUCAUAGAUUUAUAUGGAAUUAGAAAUCCAAACAAAAAUCAUUUGUUAUUCAAUCAUUGAUUUUAAAAUCCUAAUUAAAUUCAUGUGUUAUUGGUUCUAUGAUUUAUAAAUACUAGUUAAAAUCUUAUGUUAUUCGUUUAGUCAUUUGUUUUUGGAUUUGAGAAUCCAAAUUAUGUUUUAAAUGGAAUUGAAUGGAAUUGAAAGAGAAAAAUAGAAGGAUUCAAAUCCAUGGGUAAACACAUGUUAUUUCAAAAUCCAUAUAUCUUGAUUUCAUAAUUAAUAGAAAUUUUCAAAUUCUAUAUGGAUUUACAAAUUAACAAACUAGUAAAAUGGAUUUGAAAAUCAUAGAAAAGAAAUUAUAAAAUUUUAAAACAUGAAAUUUUUUAUGAUAAACAAAAUAACCUAUCAUGUUCUCAUCUAUGAACUCUGAAUUGAAUCACUCUACAUGUUUGAUGCUCUUGUUUCUCUCCACUGAUUGUUCUCUCCACACAUAUGGGAAGAUAUCAAAGAAGUCCAUAAUUUGGAAAAAAAAACGUUCGUUACGAUGCGGUUAAAGUGAUUCACCAAUUAGGAAUGAAAGAAGUCUUUGUUAGUAUGUCCACUAAUGAGCGUCAUGAUUGGAUUAAGCGUAACAUUAUGGAAUGCUAGAUUAAUUAUUUUUUUGUUUUCUAGUAUUGUUAGUUUUCUAGAAUUUUUCUUCUAGCCUUGUUUGGUUUCGAAAACUACCCUUUGUUUUCUAGUAUUUUUUAUUUUUAUUAUAUGAUAAAAUAUACUUUUAUAUGAAGGUGUUUCAUGAUCUUUGGUAUUAGCAGUUUUUUUUUUGUGAUUGAUAUGCUUGAAAGUAUUAUACGAAGAUUUUUCGUGAUUUUUGUAUUAGCAGUUUUUUUUUUUUCUUUUUAAUAUUCAAAACAUUGCUCUACAUCAUACUUGCAUUAUGGAAAAUAAAAACUACUAAUAUUUUUUUUUUCAAAUCCACCCAAAUAACUAGGUGGAACCCAAGGAUUUCAAUCUCUCUAUUUAUAACUAAAACAGAUUUUCAAAUCCAUUCAAAUCCAAUAUGAAAUCAAAUCCAUACUCAAAUCUUCAAUAUUGAAUAAGGGGUGAUUUUAACUAGUAUUUGUAAAUCAUUGAACCAAUAACACAUGAUUUUUAUAAGAAUUUUAAAAUCAAUGAUUGAAUAACACAUAAUUUUACUUGGAUUUUCAAUUCCAUUCAAAUCAAUGAUCCAAUAAACCCCCCUAAAACUAUCAAAUCCUAAACCGAUCUGGUACAGCGAAGACCUAAACCUAAAGGAGGAUAUAAGAUAUAAAACCUAAAGGGUUUGGUUGGUUCCUUUCCCUCUCCCAAAAAAAACUCCGAUUAUGGCCGGAUCUCUAGGUCUUACGCCGGAGUCCUUGAAGGCUUCUGGCCGGAUCUCCGAGAAGCUCAGCCUUCCUAUCCUUCAGAGCCAAAUCAAGCGUGAACCAGAGGGUUACGAAACGGAGGUCCAUUUGAUUUACAAACAGUUCAGAGCCUCCGUCGAUCUCUUGCAGCAACAGGCGGCUCUCACUUUCUCCUCCGUCGGCCCCGGCCCUUCCGUUGCUAAGGAACUCGGCGACCGAGCCAUGUUUCUCGCUCAUGUCACUCCGUUUUAUCCGAACCAGCUCGCCGCUUUUCCAGCUCAAUUGACUGAUUUACUCCGUACCUCAUGCCUGGCAAUGCCGUCGGGGCUUCGGUAUCAAGUUGCGCAAUCUCUGAUUCUUCUUAUGUAUCGAAAGGUAUGUUUUUUUUUUUUGUUUUUUUAUUACGUGAUUGAUACGAAUUCUGAGAUGAUUGUAAUCGAAAGUAAUGUUUUUUUUAAUAUGUUUGCUUUGGUGUGUGUUAAAGAGUCUUGUCAUCGAGGAUUUGUUAGCUCUGUUUCUAGAUAUUCAGACUCUUGGUGAUAAAAACUUGCGAAAGCUUGCUUUCUCUCACAUUGUUCAAACCAUUCGUAAAAUGAGUAUCACUGAUCCAAGGCACAAAUCUCUUCAGAAGAUUGUUUUCUCUAUGUUGGAGGUAUUUCUUUUUUCUUUUCCCUUUUCAUGGGUUUUUUGUGUAACUGAUCAGUGUAUAAUCAAGUAGAUGAUUUUUAACUUCGGUUGUAGCAAGAAGAUGAAACCAAGGCUAAGAGAGCACUUGUUACCCUUUGUGAGCUUCACAAGAGAAAAGUCUGGUUUGGUGAUAAACAUGACAGAGUAGCAAUUGCCAUUUGUGAAGCCUGCUUUCAUACUUCACCUAGGUAUAUCUUCCUAACUGUGCAAUAUUUUGAUAUGAUUUGGUUGGUCGAAUUAACUUCUCUUUUUUUUUUUACAUGUUCAGGAUCAGGAUAUCUUCCCUUCGGUUUCUUCUUGACUACGACAACAUUAACGAUGAGGAUGAUAGUGAUGCUUCAAGCAGCGAUGACGAGGAUUCAAAGAAAGUAUCUCAGGUUGUGUUUAACAGAGAGGCUGUUUACAAGGUAAACAACAUAUUUAUACAUGAAUUUUGUUAGAGACUAUGACGAAAACGCUUACUACUGGUUGUGAAAAGAAUUUUCCACCUUCAAAUAGUUGUCACUAUCAUUUUUAUCAUUAUGAAUUAAGUAUAAUACUAGGUCCUGUUUCCGAUGUUUAGGCCAACAACAAAGGUACAUCUUCUAGCAAGAAGAAAAAGCAAGCAAAACUGCAACGCGCCAUGCGAAGUAUUAAACGAAAGCAGCGUGCGUCGUCUGAGAACACUACUUCAACUUAUUCACCUCUUAAUCAUCUAAAUGAUGCACAGGUUCAUUUCCUAGCUUUUUUGUAGUGUGUCAUUUCCUAGCUUUUUCUAUGUGGCUAUGUACUUGAAUGUUUUUCUUUUUUUACAGAACUUUGCAAAGAGGUUGCUUCGCCGUAUUAGGCCUAAGUUUGACAAGAGCAGUGGGAAAACUAAUGACAAGAGCAGUGGGGAAACUAAUGACAAGAGCAGUGGGGAAACUAAUGACAAGAGCAGUGGGGAAACUAAUGACAAGAGCAGUGGGGAAACUAAUGACAAGAGCAGUGGGGAAACUAAUGAACGGCCUGAGGUAAUUGUAUUUUAACUCGCUUCAUCCAUUCUAUAGAAACAUAUGAGCUAACUAGCCAUGUAUUCAAUAAAUUUUGCAGACCAGGUUGAUGAUUAUAAAAGUUAUUGCACGAACUAUUAGUCUUCACAAGUUGCUUUUAUUCAAAUUUUAUACUUAUCUUCAAGGCUAUGCUAAGGUAAGAUUUGCUAACUGCCCUUUUUACAAUUUCUUUGCUGAAAAUUUAUUGAAACAGGGAUGCUCUUAAAUGCAGGAUGGUGUAAAGGACAUUACACAAAUACUUGCAGCAGCAGUUCAGGCUUGCCAUGAUGGGGUAUACAAACAUCUUACACUUUAAAGCAUCAUCCCUUUUCUCAUUCUGCAAUCCUUCCAAUCAUUUUUAUAUCGGGCAGGUACCUUCGGAUGCCGUGGAGCCACUGUUCAAGAAAAUAGUGAAUGAGUUUUUACACGAUCGCUCAAAUCCGGAGGUGUGAUUUCAAACACCAAGGGAGGGACUUAACUAGAAAGCUUAUUCUAUCAUUUAUAUUUUUCCUUUUUAAUUCAUUGUUUUCAUAUAUGUAACCAGGCUAUUCCUGUCGCACUCAAUGUGGUACGAGAAAUGUGCCUUAGGAUUCCCGAGGUAACUAGUUCUUAACUCUGGUUUAAUAUUCUCAUAUAAAUGUAGUUUUACAGCACCAAUCCUUUUUUCUUUUUUUUUUCUUUUUCUGAGUUGUCUUUUUGCUUCUUCUAUUUUUUUUUUGUCUGCUAUACUUCAGUUGAUGACAGAAGACUUGCUGCAUGAUCUUGCUCAGUAUAAAACGGAUAAAAAGUACCGUACCCAUAGAAAAGCCAUCUCAGCAGCAUCUGCUUCCCUCAUAGCAUUGUUCAGAGAGGUAGCAGAAGUAUUUGAUUUGUUAAUUGGAACAAAAUAAUCAGUGUAUGUGGUUAACCAGUAAUUACAUUAUUGUAAUUUCAGAUCAACCCUUUGCUACUAGUGAAAAAAGACCGUGGCCGUCCUGGAGGUCACAUUGCCAGACCUAAAAAGUAUGGAGAAAUCAAUGUCUUCAGUAAUGUUCCCAAUGUUGAGUUAUUGCAAGAAAGUGAUGAUGAUGAAGUGGCGUUGCCUGGGACUGAUGAUAUCGGACAGGAGCUGAUAACUGAGGACGAGGCUGAAGAAGAUUCUAAUGAUGGUGAUGAUAUGAAUAACAACACUGAAGAUGAUAGUGAUAUUGAUGACGUGGCAUUGCCUGGCAGUGAUGAUAUCGAACAGGAGCUGAUAACUGAGGACGAGGCUGAAGAAGAUUCUAAUGAUGGUGAUGAUAUGAAUAACACUGAAGAUGAUAGUGAUAUUGAUGACGUGGCGUUGCCUGGCAGUGAUGACAUCGAACAGGAGCUGAUACCUGGUGGAACUAAUGACGAGGCUGAAGAAGAUUCUAAUGAUGGUGAUGAUAUGCAUAGCACUGAAAUUGAUACUUUGGUCAGUGGGGAUGAAGAGAAUGACAGUGAUGAAGCCGAGACUGAUUGGGAAAACGAAGAAGAUGAUGGAGAAGCUUCUGUGGAGGGUAGUGGAAACAGAGAGAAAGCAGAGGGGAAGAAAAGGAAGUUAGUAGAUUUUGAUGCGAGUUUCCUCGCUGCUGAUACAAGCCUACGAGCACUAAAGAGAUGCGCAGAAGCAAAGAGGGAACAGCCAUCUUUUGCAGAAAGAGAUGGCAUACUUUCCAAUGAGGACUUCCAAAAAAUCAAAGAACUUAAGGUAUACAUACAUAUAUGCGAAAGAGACUUCCUCUGUUUGGUAAAGAAGUCCAACUUUGUUGAUGAUGUCUUGUGUCACAUGCAGGCAAAGAAGGAUGCGAAAAUUGCAUUGGCUCGAAAAGGAUUCAAAGUUCCGGAUUCUGAUAAGCUAAGUAAGAAGCUGGUCAAUCCAGCCAAACUUGAAGUAAGCUGUUACUACUAUGAGAAGCUCCAUUUGAGUCGCAAAAUGUUUUGGCGAUGUUAACUGAAUUUUCUUACUCUUUCCACAGGCUCACAUAAGGCAUAAACUAACAAAAGAAGAAAGGCUGGAGUUAGUUAAAGCGGGUAGGGAGGACCGAGGGAAAUACAAAUCCAAGACUGCCAUCAAGCAGAAGAAGGUAUCCGUUUUUGUUUCCGUUGUUACGAGAAAUGGUUAUUUACAAGCAUAGGCUGUGUGUUGUUUGAUGAUCCAAUAAUUGUGUGAAAUGAAAACGCAGACUGGAGGAUCGAGCAAUAGACAGAAGGAGCACAAGAAGAAUAUGCCUCUCGCUGCAGUAAGAUCAAAGGCUGGGAAAUCAAAGCGAGUCAAGAAAAAGAAGAAUAGCCUCAGCGGAAGCCAGUUCAGAGGAAGGAAAGCUUGGAAGUGAAAUUGAGCCAAACUCAUAUCCUUCUUUUUAUAUCUCCCUUUAUUAAAUUAUUUAACAUACUGGAAAAUUAAAUCAUUAUUACAAAACUUCCUGAUUUCUCAUAUUGGACUUGAUGAUAUGCUGUUUGAUGAACUUUACUUGUCCAUGAUAUUAUUAUCAUCACAGUUCACUUUCUCAUAUAGUGUUGUUGUGGAAUAUGGAUCAUAGAAACUUGUUUUAUUGGAUUCCAAAUAUCAAAUACAUAAUAAACAAACAACCAGAUGAAGAAGAAGCCACGAACGAUUCACUUAAAACUCUCUCUCCUCACUUCUUCUAACAAUGACCUCUGGAACGUUUCUGAUUGAGAUAGAUUAAUCCAAAUUUCACAUUUCAUCAAGUAAACAUGGAGAUGGUUGCGUAAUUUUCGAUUUGAGGCAAUCAAUAAAUUUGGCCGACAUAGUAUAUUAGGCUCGAAAUGGUACAUUGGGCCAAAGUCCAGCUCCGAAGACCAUUAACAAGAACACGUAUAAAGAAAAUGAAUCUAGGGUUUCAUCAUAUACUGGUAAUCUGAUUGCGGAAUGGGGGAUCAAGUUGACAACAAGUUCACAUGGGUGAUUAAGAAUGUCUCCUCUUUGCCGUCUGAGAAGAUAUAUUCUGAUUCAUUCGUGAUCGGUGGCUGUAGUUGGUAAGAAGAAGACAAGUUUUUUUUUUUGUUUCCCCUACAAUUUUAGGUAACGUUAUCAUUGAUUUUUGCUUGCAGGCGUCUUGUGGCGACAUAUUUCAAGAGAAAUAUAUUUAAUGAUUCUCUGUCUCUGUCUCUGUCACUGGCGGUGGCUGAUGCUGAGUAUUUGCCUUUUGGAUGGAAAAGACACGCAGAAUUUUCUUUUACUAUAGUGAAUCAAAUUUCUGAAGAAUUCUCCCAAGUGCAAGAUAUCUUUCGUGAUUUUACAGAAACACAAGAGUGGUUUGAUCACAGGACUCUUGCCUGUGGUUGUGCAUCCAGUUUUCCCCUUGCAAAACUGGAUGCCAAAUAUGGUGGAUUUAUACUGAAUGAACAAGUCAAGAUUGUUGCAGAGGUGAAAGUUCUUGUAGCUAUUGGCAAGUCUGAUGAGGCAGACAAACCUCUGAAAAAGAUCAAGAUUGAGUAUUAUGAUUUCCUCAGCGACACUCCACCAGUAGUGGAAGAACCCACUAUUGUCUACGGGUUUCCAGUUGUUUCUCCAGAGGUGGAAUUAGUGAGCCGCAUUUUUGAAAAUCACCCGGACGUUGCAUCAGGGUUAAGAAAGGACAUGAGCCCAUAUACGAAGAGAGCACACAUGUAUUCCCUAAUCUGCGUGAUUGAGACUCUGAACAAGCCACUUCAAGAAAUCUCAAGGUCUUAUUUGGUUGAUGCACGUGAUAGACUGGUGUUCCUCAGAAGCGCUGGACUUCUGUUGGAUUGGGUGGAGAAGAAGCUGGAUGAGGUGACCGAGAAGAUGGACAAAGAGGAACAAGGACAAGGAGAUAUUUGAAGGCAACACUGUUGGCAGCCAGACUGAUGCUUCUGUCUUCUCCGUUUCAAACUCUUAUUCUCUUUUUCUUUCUAGUUUCAUUUUGAAUGUGCUUGGUUUUACUUUAUUUACAAAACACACUCUGCUUUUGAAAAUCGGACACUUUUGGUUUGAUGACUAUCUCUAGGUUUUCUCUAUUGCACAGUGUGUUUCUUUACGGAAAAGUAAACAGUCGUUGAUCGGGAGAUUUAUUCGAAUUUCGAAGCCGAUUGCGACACUAUUUUCACCAUGAACUCCACCUCUUCCUCUCUGAUAUUCCUAUAAGAUUGAACCUUUUUAAGGCUAAAAAGCUCGAUAACAGCGAGCUUUCCCAUUUCUCGCCAAUGCUCGCCGUACUGCGAGAAACUGAUGUCUUCCCAGGGCCGGCGCAGAGGGCAAGCCACCGAAGCCACCGAUUAGAGCCUCAAAAUUUGAAGGCUUUUUUACCUAAAAAUUUGUUAAGUUUUCUUAUAUACAAUAAUUUUUGUAGGGCCUUUUAAAAAUAUUGUGCGCUUUUAGAGACAACUAAAACAUUCUUUUUAAUGGUAAAAAUCUAAUUUAAAAUAAUUUUUUUCAUGGGCUUUGAUUUGCUUAGGACACCCAAAUUCACCGGGCCGGUACUGUGUCUUCCGUAGGAGAGUUUACCCGUGCCGACCGUUCUUGGUCGGCUGCAACAUCCAAGGUCAUGGGUUUUGAGAUCUUCUUCAGCUGCUUCACUCGAGGAGAUCACAACCAUUGGAACAAACCCGCGAUGAAGAAGUACCACGGGUCCGUAUUUGAUGGAGAGAUGAUGAAAGCAUCGGUGAGGUAAUCCUGCGAAAUUGGUGUAAGUUUCCGAUGAUCGGGAGACUUGGAUGGCACGGAGGAAGAUUCCAUUUAGGGUUUCUCUUACCUUUGUCAUGAAAAAGAUUAAUGACACAAAAGUAAGAAGCAAUAAACCCCAUAAAACGCAGAGAAAGAAAGCCAUUUUCUUUUCUCUUCCUCUUUUUUUUUUUUUAGAGAUGAGAUUAGUUUAGUCUUGUAUAUAAGAUAAGUGAAAGAAGUUGUUGAUGUUAACUUUGUAAAUCAAGUGGCUGAGACAAAAGUUACAAUUUUGGUCGGUUUGAAUAUAUAGUAGGAAGCAAUAGGAAUGUGUCCAAACGAAAUAGAGACUCAUCCAUCUUAAAAUUUUCGCCGACUUUGUUUGUGUGGUGGUAGCAUAAAUGAGGAGAUAAAGAGUACGAGGAGGAGAAUUCUGGAGUGUAUAAGUUCCAUCAAAAACUAGUUUGAUAAAUUUUUAUUUCUGUUUGAAUUUGUUUAUUUUUUCCUAUAAGAAGAAAAAAUUCUCUUGAAAUCAUAAUUUUAUUUUAUUUUUAUUUUAAAGAAUUUUACAUAAAUAUCUUCGCUAUAUAUAAAAAAAAUUUGAUUGCGUCUCCAUUGAUGUUAAAUUGUCAAAAAGAUGGCUAUUAGUAUGUUUAUAAAAACAUAUUUAUGGUUAAAAACUUAAAAUAUGCAUAUGCAUCUACAUCAACAUUUUUUUUUUGAUCAUCUGAAAUUAUAUUAGAAUUUUCCAAACAUUUUUUUUGAUCAUCUGAAAUCUACAUCAACAUAUGACCACUCUUUUCUUUCAAACAUAACAAAUUAACACAUUAGUUGAAUAAAUGUUAAAAACAGUUAAAAAUUAUGUUUGUCUGUUUAACCUGUGAUUAGAUCUUAAAUGAUUGAACGAUUCCUUUUUUUCUUUAGUCAGUAAUUUGUGUUAGUUAUGGUUGAAGUGUUUGAUGAUCUAAAUGAUUAAUUAGAGUACCCAGCCCUUUAGAGCAAGUCCAAUGGUGUUUCUUAGUGAAGUUAUUAAGAAAUCCUUAGCUUAAAAAAUCAUUAAAAUUAAUGAAAACAAGAUAUUAGAGUUUCUUAGCUUAAGAAUUGUUUCUGUUUUAGGAUUUGUUAAGGACUCAUGUUGUGAUGCCUUGUGAUUGGGUGAGGAAAAAAUAUAGAAGCCAAAAAUAAAUUUAUCUCUUGUUUUUUUUAUUCUGCGACACUUAUUUUUCUGUCUUGCAAAAAUUUAUCUUUUUUUUUUUUUGUUUAAAUGCUAAAGUCUUGUUUUGUGAAUGGGGUUUUACUAAGACUCAGAUUCAUAUAUGGCAUAAAUUUGGCACGAAUUAAGCUAAAGACUAAUCGUUAUUCCGGUUUUUUAUUUAUAUUUUUUAAUAUGCUUUUCUGUUUUGUAUGUUUAAAAUUUAAGAAAAUUGUAAUAAUUAUUAAGUUUUAUCAAAUAAAAAAGUUUAUAAUUUUCAUUUUAAAAAUAAUUUUUUUUUUAAGAAACGUAUUUAAGGACUCUACCAUUGGACAAUGAAAAUUUUAAAGAUUCAACACAAACUCUUAAUUUUGAAAUUAUCACAAUUUAUAAUAAAAAAAUGUUUAAGAGUCCUUUUAAAGACUUUACCAUUGGACUUGCUCUUACAUAAUAUCAGAAUUAAAUUAGUUUUAAGUAUUGGAUUUUGAUCGCCACUUGGCCCACUUCAAAAAAUAAUUGUGUUAUAAUCUUUUACGACAAUACCAAGUGAAAUCAGUUGUGAAAGAAAAAAAAGCUAAUAAUGUUAAAACCGUGAAGAUUACCAGUAAAAUAGUUAGUUAAUCAUAUCUGGUUUCACUGAUUUUUAUUAUAAUUCAUUACUUUGCCUUUUUAAAAUUAAAAACGAAAAAAACAGUAAUGAGUUUUGGAUAAGGUUGAAGGGGUUUCUGGUGUUAUAACGUCCACCCAACUUUCGGUACAUCGCCAGCAUCGGAUUUAGCGGACCCCGAAACGUCCGGCUAAAGUCCAAUCCAUUAUCGCCACGUCAUCAAAUAACGUGUUAAACCGUCAAAAGUCGCCGUUACCGUCCUUCCCUCGGAUACUAAUUUUAGUACACAAAGAGAGAGAGACUUAAAAUUACUGUCAGUCAUACGUAUAUAUAUACGUAUUCGUAUAUCACGAUUAUUUUUCUUUUUUUAAUAAUAAAAAACUAUCUUUCUUUUUUAUCUUCUUCUUCUCCGAUCGGUGGAGUCUUGUCUCUCUAUCUUUAUAUUACUUGUUAACCUGCGCUUGCUUAUUGGAGCUCUUAACCUACGCGGAUUCUCCGAUUUAUGACAGCUGAACUCGAUUUGGUGGAUAAACAAGAGAGAUCGAGGUCCAAGAGGCCAAGGCUAGAAGAAUUCUACCGGAACAAAUGGAGGUUCUGGUAGGUUCUACGUUUAGGGAUCGGAGCAGCGUCACGGCGCAGGAUCAGGGUGUACCGGCGGCUCUGUCUAACCGGAUUGGUUUAAGGAGAUGUGGUAGAUCUCCGCCGGAGAGUUCGUCGUCUGUUGGAGAAAGCAGCGAAAACGAGGAAGAAGAAGACGACGCCGUUUCAUCAUCACAAGGAAGAUGGCUUAAUUCGUUUAGUUCAUCUUUGGAAGAUUCUCUUCCGAUUAAGUACGUUUCUUUAUUAAUUAUCUUCUAAAUAAUCAAAUUAUUCUUUAUUUACACCUGAAUAUAUUCGAUUUAAACCUCAACAAAAAAAAAAAAAAAAAAAAAACUAUUAAACCUUUUUUUAUUACAUGAAUAAAGUAAAUCACUAGAUUCUCUAUGUUCUUGUGUUUGAUUUUAUUGUUUGAUGAACCUGUAAGAUGUUGAAAUUGUUUCUCAGUUUAAAUGUUAUUACAUGUUGAGUGUUGGUUUAGUCAUUGUGGUUAGGUUUUGUUUUUUUUUUUGUUACAGGAGAGGAUUAUCAAACCAUUACAUAGGGAAAUCGAAAUCGUUUGGGAAUUUAAUGGAAGCGAGCAACGCAAAGGAUUUGGUGAAAGUGGAAAGUCCAUUGAACAAGAGAAGGAGAUUGCUUAUUGCUAAUAAGCUAAGAAGAAGAUCAUCCUUGUCUUCUUUCAGCAUCUACACCAAGAUUAACCCUAAUUCCAUGCCUUUACUUGCAUUGCAAGAAUCUGACCAAGAAGAUCACAAACUCAAUGAUGAUGAAACUAGUAAGCUGAAAGAGAAGAGGAUGAAGAUGACGAACCAUAGAGAUUUUAUGGUUCCUCAGACUAAGAGCUGUUUUAGCUUAACUAGUUUUCAAGAUGAUGAUCGAUGAUCAUUUUUGUUUCUCUUCUUCUUUUGUCAAGAGUAGAUAAAGUUUCGUUGACAAUAAGUUGGAGGAAGAUUUGACAGAAACCAAUUUAUGUUUAAUUGUAAUAAAUUAAUUUGACUGUUUGUAUAUUUUGGUAAUUCUCAACGAAGUAGACUUUUUUUUUUUUUUUUUAUCACACUUCUUGUCAACCUUGACAUUCGUUAAGCCCAUGAAAUUGGUUCUAUAAAAAAACUUAAGUCCACAUGACUAAGUCGUGAAUUUUGACGGCCUAGUCGUAAGUUCAAUAGAGGCUGCGUAGUCACUAGGAACAUGUUUAGGGUCGUUUUUCCCAAGUACAUAUUUUUUCUCUACCAAGUUGAAUUUAUUUAUGUACGAUUCAUCUUAGAUAUAGAAUUUGGAUAGAAGUUGAAUAUGUGUCUCACUGAGACGACCCACUGUCGAAAUACAAUAAUAUGUACACAUUAAAAAAAAAAAAUUGCCUACAAAGUAAUUAGAAAACAUAAAACUGAGAGUUUUGUUUUUGUUAAGUAUACUUUUUUCUUUCAAUUUACGUAAUAGCAUAGGAGAAACUGAUCUUUUCAAAUUUCGUAGGUACUUCAGAAAUGUGUCUAUGAAAUCGAUCAUAUCAAUUUUUAAAAAUUUAAGAAUGAUCAAUGAUGUCUAAAUGAUAUUUUAAUACUUCACAAUAAACUUAUGGUUCUAUAGUAUAUUUUUAGAAAACAAAACCAAGAGGUUAUAUUCUUAUCCAAUAUCUUCACAUUUUCAACUCUUCAACAAUUUCGCUUUCAGUAUUAUUGUGUAACCCAAUGCUUAUUUAUACUCAACUUACAUUUUUUAAUUCCAAAACCAGUAGUCCACCUACUAACAUCACGUUUUAAAAACAAGGCAAAAUUCUGCACCUGUCAAAAAAAACAAAACAAACCAACCAAUAAAACUUUUUGUCUUGCUAUAUAAACCACAGCAUCACUUAUGCAAAGUAGAAAAUAUCCGAAAACAAGUCUUAAGUAAGUCAAACAAAGAAAAAAAUGGAUCUCUUCUUGAUUAUAGCCGCUUUGGUAGCGGCUGCAGCCUUCUUUUUCCUCCGUAGCACGACCAAGAAAUCUCUCCGGCUACCUCCGGGACCAAAAGGUCUUCCUAUUAUAGGAAACCUUCACCAGAUGGAGAAAUUCAAUCCACAACACUUCCUUUUCCGUCUCUCCAAGCUAUACGGCCCGAUUUUCACGAUGAAAAUCGGAGGCCGUCGCCUAGCGGUGAUCUCCUCGGCCGAGCUAGCCAAGGAGCUACUCAAGACUCAAGACCUCAACUUCACCGCUCGUCCUCUCUUGAAAGGGCAACAAACGAUGUCGUAUCAAGGCCGUGAGCUUGGUUUCGGACAGUACACCGCCUACUACCGUGAGAUGAGGAAGAUGUGUAUGGUGAACCUCUUCAGCCCAAACCGUGUCGCAAGUUUCAGACCGGUUAGAGAAGAAGAGUGUCAACGGAUGAUGGACAAGAUCUACAAAGCCGCUGAUCAAUCAGGCACCGUUGAUCUAAGUGAGCUUCUCUUGUCUUUCACCAACUGUGUCGUAUGUAGACAAGCUUUUGGGAAACGGUACAAUGAGUACGGUACAGAGAUGAAGAGAUUCAUAGACAUCUUGUACGAGACGCAAGCACUUUUGGGCACUCUGUUUUUCUCCGACCUCUUUCCUUAUUUUGGAUUCCUUGACAACCUCACUGGUCUUAGUGCGCGUCUCAAGAAAGCUUUUAAGGAGCUUGACACUUACCUUCAAGAACUUCUAGACGAGACUCUUGACCCUAACCGCCCUAAACAAGAAACAGAGAGUUUCAUUGAUCUAUUGAUGCAGAUCUACAAAGACCAACCUUUCUCCAUCAAAUUUACUCACGAAAAUGUCAAGGCCAUGAUAUUGGUUCGUAACUCUAUCUAACCCUUAUUGCAAUUCUCUAAGUUAGUUAAAUCUCAAUAUUAUUAUUAUUAACUCGGUUUGUUUCUAAUUUUAUCAGGAUAUUGUUGUGCCGGGAACUGACACGGCGGCUGCGGUGGUGGUAUGGGCCAUGACUUACCUUAUAAAGUACCCUGAAGCGAUGAAGAAAGCUCAAGACGAAGUGAGGAAUGUGAUAGGCGACAAAGGAUAUGUCUCUGAAGAAGACAUACCUAAUCUCCCUUACCUCAAGGCAGUCAUCAAGGAGUCUCUUCGGCUCGAACCAGUCAUCCCCAUUCUUCUACACAGAGAAACUAUCGCAGACGCAAAGAUCGGUGGCUAUGAUAUCCCGGCCAAGACCAUCAUUCAGGUGAACGCGUGGGCGGUUUCUCGUGACACAGCCGCGUGGGGAGACAACCCUAAUGAGUUCAUUCCAGAGAGGUUCAUGAAGGAGCACAAAGGAGUGGACUUCAAGGGCCAAGAUUUUGAGCUCCUACCUUUCGGGUCGGGCCGGAGAAUGUGCCCGGCCAUGCAUCUUGGGAUCGCAAUGGUAGAGAUACCUUUCGCUAACCUUCUCUACAAAUUUGACUGGAGUCUACCUAAAGGGAUUAAACCAGAGGAUAUAAAGAUGGACGUCAUGACUGGACUCGCUAUGCACAAGAAAGAACACCUCGUCCUUGCACCAACGAAACACAUCUGAUGCUAUAUAUAUCAUUAGGACGUUUCUGCUGGUAGAUAUGGCGUGAUCAAUGGUUGUUUUUCAUUGCAAUAUUUUCGUUUUAAUGAGUACUCUGUUGGUGUUAAAUUUUUUUUAAAAAAAUAUGAGUACUCUGUUUUUUUGGGUCUGUUCUCAUUUUUUAACCAAUAAUGUAUUGAUGUGCUUCUUUUUUUUUAAGUCUAGAAAACAAAGUAUUUCCACUGGUUUAAAAUAUUUCUUGAUAUCUUAUCUACGAUGUCGAUAACAUAUGAUUAGAUUACAUGCUGCUAAAAAACAAUAAUAUGAAAUCGAAAGGAAGUUUCGUUGACAACGAUAAGUAGUGGAAGAUUUGACUUUGGACAACAUGUUGCCAAAAGAUUAGGACUAUCUUUAGAAUACUAAGUUUAUCAUUCUGAAAAAUUGAAAAGCAAUCCUAGAAUUCAAGUUGUAUGACUUUAUUCCUUGUUUUCUCAUUUUUGCAGACGAUCAAAAAACUCAAAAAAGCAUAUGAAAGAAAAGAGAAAUACGCUUUUGACUUAUAAAAACAGAGAACAACGAAAGGCCAGAAAAGCAAAGAAGAGUAGAGAUCAAUCUGAAAUGACGCGAUUCUAAAUUGGAGCAAACCCAUGCUUUGAAAUCUACUAUAUCAUAAAGCAUUUCAAGAAAAUCACGGCUUAAUCUCCUCAACAAACGACUUUAUAGAAGAAGAAGAAAGCAUUACCAAUAAAACAAAAUCGUCUAGUAGUGUAAAUAAAGCACAGCCGUAUGAGGAAGAAUCCAUCGGUGCCAUACCGGAAAAUAUACCGGUUAAGGAAGAAUGAUAACAAAUUGAAAUGACUCUUUACAUAUCCUCAACCGCCUCCUCUCUCCUUGUAGUAAACAGAUUCAACCAACAAAAAAUUGCUCAAGAGAGAAACGUACGUAGUCUAAACCUGUUACCUUGCACGCCACCAUUCCAUGCCUGUGAGAAAUCAUCGGUAUGGUACCGGAAAUUAGACCAUUUAAGGUUUAAGGAUUCAAACAUUUAUGGAUUGGAUUGAGAAAUAGAAUACGUUUUGAGAAGAUUAGCUAACCUCAGCUACUACCCUUUUGUUUGAGGGUGAUUUUGUCCCCAAGACUUAGAGCAAUCCCUUGCGUCUUGCUCCUUAUCCUUAUGUAGCCACUCAAUGCUCCAUCGGUUUGCUUCUCAAUACUCACAUUCACAAGAGCAUCUUCACCAAACACACUUUUUGCAUAUAAGUUUGCUGCAAGGAAUCCACAUUCACCUUCUAUUGCGGAUCUGCAAAUAGGGAAGCAUUGAUUAGUAAGAAGAGUUUUUAGUUUCUAUCUGAUGAAAGAAGAAUUUGAACUUACGGGGCAGUGAGACAUUUCAUGUUUGUGGAUUUGAUAAUGUGGUCGAGGAAUUCUCUUUCGUUUUGAAUUGUGGUGUUCACAGCAACCUGACAUGAAGAAUACAACAGGGAAUGGUUAUACCAAACUCGAACAAACAAACAAAAAAAGAAGCUACAACUAUAAAAGGUUUCGGUAAAUUACCUUGUUUUCCCAUUCAAACUCUGCCCACAUAGUUCUGAAAGCAACCUCUGAGCACACAGCAGGGGAGAUAUAGUCCAUGAUAUCAAUGUGUAUGUCGUUAAGAACCACGACGUUUCGCUCCAUUACAUUUGAUGUCUCAUAGACGAUGUUCCCAAAUAUGACUCCCGUCUCUGUGGACGAGACCUUGAUGUUUGCUUUUAUCUGCAUGCUUCUUUCAGGUGCCAGACUAUAGUUCUGAGGACGCUCAACAAGUUUGAGAUCACCCAUGGUUGCUAACUCCAAGCACAGAUUCUGAAGGGUUUCCUUGGUACGGUUGAUUACUGUAACUUCGAGCGCAAUAUCAUAAUGGUGUACCGUCACAUAUGCUUCAGCAUAGACUGGGUCACUGAAUCCCGUGAGCUGAAGAAUGCGGUUAAGUUUGUUAGCAUCGUUCUCGUCCUUGGUGAAUUCUCCAGUUGCACGCUUUAGGUCAUCUUGUACCUGGUCUUCCAACUCAAGUUGACUCAUUCCCUGAAAGAAACUUAUCAUCAGUACUUUCAACUACAGCGAAAUAAAUAAACAUAGCAUGCCACUAUCAACUUCCAUUGUCUUUCUUUGAAACUGAGAAUAUGAAAAAAUAUCGGAUAUGAACUGUAAGAUAAAGUAGACACCAACGAUAUCAGAACUAAACAGAUUGCCAAGGAAAACUCGUAAGGAAAAAAAAACACAAUAAAGCAAGGGCAAGCUUAGAAAGUAAUAUUACCUUCCGACUCUUUAGAUGGAAGAAGUCAAUUAGAUCAUCAGGUUGAGCAUGAGUUGUUUGGGUCUUUGCCUUUAGUUCCUCCAUCUCUCUAAGCUGUUUUUCAGAAAUCAUCUUGACAAAACUCUGGCGACAGUAUUCCAACCAUAUCUUUUUCAUCUCAUCAUUCCUAUGGCAAAGCAAUUUUAUGCACAACACAAUCCUCUCAUACGAAUCAUUAUCAAUAGGGUGUGGAGAAACAGGAGAUUGCCCAAGUUGCAACAUAGAAACCAUAAUCAGCAAAGCCUGUGUGACUGUCUUGUUUACUUCAGUUUUAGAAGACUGAACCUCUUCCAACCUAAGAACAAGUUUAGUCAACGUGCAAGCAACCACUGCUCCAAGGAAAAAAUCACCAGUUAGAAGCAGUGCUCUCAAAUUUCCAGAAGUCAGUGAUCCUUGAACAACUGUAGGUGAGGAGAAUGUGGUUCAGAGGCUGCGCUUUGGGUAGCAUAAGUUCCAUCAGCAAGAAUCACUGGCUUUCUAGAGGACACCAUGGCAGAAGAGGUAGGCUGAAUCUUCUUCGAUGUCUCAGUUGGCUCAGACUCCUCAGAAACAGAGUAAAAUGGUAAAUCGCCAAGGCAUUGUUUAAUGGUUGAAAUGCCACUCUCAACUUCUGAAAGUGAUAGGCAAUACUCCCCAAUAAUCCAAAGUGCACAAGGGCAGACCUUUCCUGCGCGGAUCUGAUAGAACGUGUCCAACAACCUGGUUAUGAUUGAAACUCUUAACUUCGGAUUUGUUUCUAUUAUCUCUCUAACAAAAACAACCACGUCAAGAGCUGAAGCCACAUUGCUAUCUCCCAAGAAAUCCAUUAGAAGAUGGACUACUGUACUUGCAACUUCGGGGAACUUCACUGCACAAGCAUGGAUUGCUUGAAUAAGCAUUUGUCUGUACUCCCCAUUCUUCUCAAGUUCUCCACUCUGUGUCUUCACAACUUCUUUCUUCAACAUUUGAACGACCUCAUUAAUAUUAUGAUGGGUAAUCAAGUCAAGGGCAAUGUCAAGUGUCUUCCUGCGGAUAUCAAGGUUUGGGCUUGAGAGUGCUCUGAGCACAUCUAUUAUCAACUCAACCAUGAUAUCUCUGUGCAAUGUCUUAAGCUCAUACAACCGAUCAAGCAAUAUUAGCUUCACAUUGUUGUCACUCUGAGAAAGAAGAAGUUGGCAGUAGGUGUUGGCAGCAGCCCUAAUAGCAGUCGGGGCAGAAGAGAGAGAAACAAGUGUCCCAGCACAUUCAUAGAUAACUGCAGAAGAAGUAGCACUUAACAGAGAAAUAAUAAUCUUAAUAUAUUUCCCCUUCUCUGUUGGUUUAGUCUUACACACACUUCGAAUCAACUCCAGCACCACCAUCUGAAGUGAUUCAUUCCAGUCUGAAACCUUGUCAACAUUGCUCAGAAGAUAAUUCACUGCUCGUUCUUCGGCACAGGUAAAGAGCAUUAGAAAUGCAUUUCUCUUGGCAGACGGAUCUUGUUCUGUUGAUAGAACUUUCUCGAUCAUUUCAGGUGCAUCCACAAAGAGUUGGUCUCCUUGUGGAAGCUUAUAUAUCGACAUGAUAGCUAGGAUUGCAUUCCUACGUACAAACGGAUGGCGAUGCUCCAGAUUUUGCAACACUGAUGGAGUCAACGGUUCUACUAUUUCAGUCUCCUUCAACCGGCAGAGAAACCUCAGUGUCACACCACGGAUGUACUCAUUCGAAUGCUGAAGGUUAUUCCGAAGAUUCUGGCAUAUCAAAAUCAUUUCAGGUAACACCUUCCCCUUAGAAUCGGUUUUUUCAAUCAGCUCCAGGUAUAGCAACAGAAGCUUUUGGAUUGUGUGGUCCUCAGAAGGCAGCACAUAUCUUAUAAUGGUUAUGAAAAGCUGAGGAAUGGUUUCACCAUUCAACAAAAGCAUAACCGCCUUCUUCAUGGCAUCAAUUUUAGCUUCAACAUCAUUUCCUUCGAGAGCUUCUUUAAUCUCAUUGGCCACUGCAGGAGUCCCUUUGUCAUAGUGCACAAGCAAGGUACUAGAUUUGUCCAUCUUUUCCGGUGCUGCAGCUGCAAAAAAAGUGAAAGAGAAACCGAAAAAAAAAAAAAACUUGUGAGCCCAAAUGAAAAGGAAAAUAGUGCAGGAACAAGUGGUACCAAUGUAGCAUAAGAAAGAUAGAAAGUGAAUAUAGAGAAUAGGAACCCAAACUCCAUACAAUUGAUUAAAGACAAAAUGAGGUAUAUAUAGAUCACAAGUAACAAACAAGAUAUCCAAAAUGUUAAUAUUUCUUGCGAUUUCAAGUUUGAAUUACUGAGUAUAAGCACCUUACUAGUGUCCUCAUCACUGCUCGAGUAAGUUCUAUACAAGAAGUUUAUGAGUAUCCUCCUCAGCAAUAAUCUACACCUCUCUACUUAUAUAUCUAUACAACGAAUGAAGCAUCUCUUUUCUCUCGAAUCCAUGGUUUAUGAGAAAGCAUCAUAAUCGCAGAAGAAUAUUCGGUAAUGUUCAAUCAAGGACCGAAAGAUGCAAAACAUUGACAAAUCUAAAUCAUCAGAUCCAGCGAUACACAUCACUUUACCAAAACAUUAACAUAAAAUCGAAUAAUAAAAACAGCUUCCGAUCAACUAAAAUUCAAAAAACAUCCCCAGAUUUGAUGAACAAACAAUGGAAUCUACAUAGUUCGCAGUCUCACUAAGCUGCACAAACAUGAGAAUCAGUUUCCUACCGGGAUCGGAUCAAUCUUUAAGGAGAUCGAACAAAGAACGUCCGAGAAUAUCGAACAUUGUAGAGUUUUCACAAAGGAAAAAGGUAAAAGGGGGAUCGAUCUCUAUGAAAUCUGAGUCGCAAGUUAAACAGAGAGAGAGACGAACCUCAAGGUACGAGAUCCAGAGAGAGAGAGGAGGAGAUCCACGGAGUUACGAAGCUUUUGGAUCCAAGAGAAGAUUUUGGAUCUCGGAAAACAAAAACACUCCCACAAAGUGAGAGAUAAAAAAUGAGCUUAUUAUCGUGGAUUCGUCUUCUGAAUUUACUCCUCCAAAUCCGUUUUUUUUUGGAAAACGAAGAACGGAAAAAAGCGAGUCAGCCUCAAAGGCCCAAAUAAUUGAUUGAUGGCAAGCCCAGCCCAAUAGAUGUUGAGAAAACAUAGCCCCUUAUGUUUUUAAUUGUUUCCAAAAUGACCCCAAACUUCAUAAAGUGAGCUUCAUUAGGAUUGAGGAAUCUUAGGACACUUUGGUCAGAGUUUAUUACCUAACCAACAAACGGUAGUCAACUAAAUUGAUAUUCUUUUGGUCUAUUUGAUGUUCUACAUAAUAUAAAUUUAGUUAACCAACGGUAAGCUCAACAACUAGAAGCCUCACAAUAUUUAAAACAAGGCAUCCCAAAUUUGUAUCACGUUCUCUAGCACACCAUCUGAUACGCCUCAUAAAUCUGCAUAGUAAGCAUGUUAAUAUGUUAUAAUUAAACAACUAUUUUAAAAGUGGUCAAAAUAUAUAUAACUUAAUUAGGUUUUAUGAAUGAGUUUGUAUAAGUAUGUUUUAUGCUUGGGAUGCUUGCUCGUUGCUAUGCCUAUGAUAAAGUUUCUUCUUACAAAAAAAAAAAAAAAAACAUUCUAGUAAAACUUCCCUCAUAUAUAAUGAUCUAUUACCUUACUAGAUUUUAUCUCGUGGUACACCACAGAUCGAUUUUUUUAACUACAAAAUUAAAUUUUAAGUUGUAUUUAUUUUAAUAUUGUUUAUUUUGUUAAGUCUUUAAGAUCGUAUAAUUGUAUUUUGAUUGUUAAUUUUAGGAUUUUAUCCGUGAUACGUCCCGUAUUAAUAUCGAUCCAAACCCGUCCUACCAUAUAACCCCGUUCCGUGAAAUUAAAUAUCAUUUUGUUAUUUUUAAUAAUAUUUUAUCAAAUAGACAUAUAAUUCGAGUCAAUUUAAAAGUUUAAUAUUAUAUAUAUUUUUGAAUUUUAGUUAAUAAUAAUUAAUUCUAUAUAAUGAUUUCCGAAUUAAUUGCGUAUGUCCAACAGUAAGAAUGAAGAUUAAUAACCAGAUUAAGAUUUGAAUGGUCACGAUUAAAUAUAGGGAUUGUUGAGAUCUUUUAAGGAAAUCGAAUUAAAUAUGGAUUUAAUUGUGAUAAAGAUUAUUUAUUGUUAAUAUAUUAUGUUAAGAUUUUUGGAAACAAUUUUUUAUGUUAAUAAGUCUGGGCAAAUAAACCGAACCAAAUGUACCGAACCGAAACCGAAGCAAAAAAACCGAACCGAACCGAACCGAAAAUUUGAAAAUAACCGAAUGGAUAAUAAAUUUAAUAACCGAAAUAACCAUAACCGAAUCGGUACCGAACCAAAAUAUUUUGGUUAACCAAAAUACCCGAAAUACAAUUAUAUUUUCAAAAUAAUUAGUUAUUUAUAGACCAAAUAAUCAAAAAAUACUUGAAAAAUAUAUAAAAAUAGUUCAAAUACUCGAAAAUAACCAAAAUAUAUCCAAAAAUAUCUGAAAAUACUCAAAAAUAACCGAAAUAUCCGAAAAUAUCCUAAGCAAAAUAACCGAAUGGAUACUAAAUUUCAAAACCGAAAGAACCGGAACCGAACCGAAAUUUCAAAAUAUCCGAAUGGGUACUAAAUUUUAGAACCGAAAAAACCGAAACCGCAUAGACCCAACCGAUAAAACCGAACGGAUAACCGAAAGCCCAGACUUGUUAAUAUCUUUGAUUUAAAUUUGUAAUUCUAAAUAAUUAAUGUCCAUGAUAUUUGAUCGUAGUUAAUAUCUUUGAUUUAAAUUUGUAAUUCUAAAUAAUUAAUGUCCAUGAUAUUUGAUCGUAAAUAAGUUGAAACUCGAGGAUUUAUUUCAUAAAUGUCUCUGAAAAUGUAUAUAUAGAUGCAUGCUUUGUUUGAAAAGAAUCAUUCCCUACAAAUAAUCAAUGUUCCACCGAAAUGAUUAGCACUUGUCAUUGCACAUUAUUAACAUAGCAUGUGUUUAGAUUCUUUAGAUGAUAUAUACGUACAAAUAUGAAAGUAUAAACAAUGGUGUAUGUAUAUAUAUAUAUAUAUAUAUAUAUAUAUAUAUAUGUAGUACUAGAUCCAGAGAGGUUGACAAUCAAAUCUAACUCAUCUUCCCAAUGGAACCAAAAUCUUUGAUAUUCGUCAUCAUCAUUAUCAUAGUCAUCAGCACUCCACUUCCUUCUCUCUCUUUUCAAUUCCCAUCCAACAAAACACCAACAACAUCAACACUAAUUUCUUCUCAAUACAAAACCCUAGCCCGCAACACAAUUCAGCAGCAGUUUCUCCGACCACACAACAUCUUACGAGCCAAGCUUCGUCUCCCUCCUCUGAAAUGGAGCAAUAGUCUCGCCCUCUACGCGAGCCGGUGGGCCCAAACCCGCGGUGGAGAUUGCAAACUUAUUCACUCCGGGGGACCUUACGGGGAGAAUCUCUUCUGGGGAAGCGGAAAAGGGUGGACUCCACGGGACGCGGUGGCUGCAUGGGCAUCGGAGAUGAAAUACUAUGACCGGAGGACUUACCACUGCAAGGUGAAUGGGGAUUGUUUGCAUUACACGCAACUUGUAUGGAAGAAGAGUUCGAGGAUUGGGUGUGCAAUCAGUUUUUGCAAGACCGGUGCCACAUUUAUUAUUUGCAACUAUGAUCCUCCUGGUAAUAUUGUUGGACAGCCACCCUUUUGAAUAUUGUCUACACUUUAUCUUUACCUUUAUUUUCCUCAACUACGUACACUUUAUCUUUAUUUAUGUAAAAUCUUGUUUUGAUUCUUGGAUAUUUGUCAUAUUGUAUGUAAGAUAACAAAAAUGAAUUACGUUUUCUCUUGUAUCCGUAUCAUAUGUACAGUAUAUGCUAAACUUUUCGGGUAAGGUUUCAGUUUCAUUAUAUUAAGCCACCAAUAAAACACCUGAUUUUUAACAUGAGUUUUUUUGGUGAUGCAAUUUGUGUUUUGAUAUAUUUUUGUUGCCGUAAACAAAUUUUUAUUUUUUAUUGUUUGGCCGGUUUGAUUGUGUUUCGGUUGAGAUGGGGGACCUACGUUCUUAAAUUCAGACUUUCAGUUCAUGUUGACUUGGUUCGGUCUAUGUUAGAUGCUGAUAUUGACUUUUAUCCGGACUGCCAAAUUGAACCGAAUAAAACCAAACCAUAAAUUAAGGGGAACUAAUCUGGGCCUCAGAGCCAACGAAAUAAAAAAGCCCAAUGCUUCAAAACUCAGAAACUGAACCCUAAAGAGGCUUAGAUCGCUACAUCGACGCCGGUCCGAAACUUCGACUCGUGGUUAUCGUCAGUUUCAUUUCUGCUUCUUCUCUCUCUCGUGGCUAGACCAUUUAUGUGGUUUGGUUCACUUCAGGUCAGCUUCUCAUCGAUUCUCUAUUCUGUUUGUCUUGAUUCGACGAUUCAUUUGAUCUUUUAUUCAAUCGGUGUCUGAUUCGAGCGACGGCGAAGCAAGAAGGCGAAAUAGCAUACCGGAUUUUACCGGCUAAUUUUAUCCGGUUUGACUAAAAUCGUUGGCUAAACCGAUUUGUUUCCAUCUUCAGGUCAUACCAAGCACAGAGAAAAGCAUUUGGGUAGGUUUUGCGAUCUGUGAUUUUCGGAAGGAGAAACGAAAAUGGCGUUUAGAGGGAAGGAGAUGAUGAAGAAGCUGGUGAAGAGAGUGGGAGCGGAGAAUAUCACGCCAGAGCUCAAGGAGAAGCUCAAGGCUUGUGUUCCUGAUACCAAAGUCGUCAUGGGCAGAGCCAAACGCGGUCUCUACGCCGGCCGCCAUAUCCAGUACGGCAACCGCGUCAGUGAAGAUGGUGGAAACAAGUUUGUCUCUUUCUCUCUAUGCCUCCCUAUCUGUUUAUGAUGUAUGUGUAUUCGCUUGAGAUUUGUUGAAUUUAGAGCUUGUGAUGGUUUUGCUUAAAAUUCACGCAUUGAAGGGCUAAUUUGUAUGUUUUUUAGGAAUGCUUUCUAGAUUUAGGUUUCAUUUUGGUGAAAUGAAAUCUAAAUUCUUGCGUUUGGAAGUAUUCAAUAGCCUUUGAAAUCUUUAGCUGGUUAGAGAUUGUAUAGUGCCUCAUUUUGUUUAGCGCUCUCAUUUGUUUCCGGAAGAUGGCAUUGUUGUUUUGUUUCUGUAUCAUGCUACUCUAAAGAUUCUCAAUAUUUUGAGCCAUGGUGUGAUGAAAUUUAUCCCCUUUAUAGAGAAAUGUAGGAUCCAUGUAACCUAUGUGUCUUAAUCUGAUUUAUUCUGUAUGGUUUGGUAACUUUUGUUUGUGAUUUGAGUUCAGGUCCAGAAGAUGUUGGAAACCGAAUGUCCAGGAGAAGCGAUUGUUCAGCUACAUAUUCGACCGUCACAUUAAAGUCAAAGUCACAACACAUGCUCUCCGCUGCAUCGACAAAGCAGGAGGAAUAGACGAGUACCUGCUAAAAACACCAUACCAAAAGAUGGACACAGAGAUGGGUCUUUACUGGAAAACCAAAGUAGAGCAAAGAUAUGCAGAGCUAGGUCAAAUGGAAGUAGCCUUCUUCACUCCAGAGGAUGAAGCCAAGUUCGAACAAGGAUUCAAAGACUUGAAUAUAGCUAAGAAAGAUGCUCGUAGGGAAGCUAGAAGAAAGAUGUAUGGAAAGAAAGGCGGAGAAGGGAAAGCUGAUGAAGAAGCUUCUAUUGAAGGUGGAGGGUCAAAGUCACACCAAGAAGAUGAUCAUGGGUGGUUAGAAGCUAAAGCUUAGUGCUGCACUCUUUUCUUUUUGCUGAGGUUCUUCAACGUUUUUAGAUUUUGGAAGAUGUGAGAGGUAUGUGAUGUUGUAGGUUAUAGGUUCGAUUCCUCCCUACGAAUCCCAUAACUCAGGUUUUGACUUUGAUCAAUGUCGAAAAGUCUUGUAAUAAAUGGUUUACACCUCUUUGGAAUUGGAUCUCUAUUUACCAUUUUUACAUACUUAGCUUGUCCUUCUCUUUCGAUACCUCAUCUCCAAUGGUGAACAGUAGGUGAUCUUAGUAUUAUAUAUUUGCGUAAGUAUUCUUCACAAGUUAAUAUUAUCUGAAAUUUCGUUCAUAUAAUUUUAAAACAAGUGUGUCAGUGGUAUUUCUGAUUUUUGUAUUUAUUUCAGUUCUAGUAUGUAUUUAAUUUCUGUUAUCAAUCAUUUAACCAUUCAUUUCACAAACAUCAACUAAAGUUUGAUUUUGGAUCCACCAAAAAGUUAUAAAUUUAAAGAAUUUGGUUGCUCUACCAUAAAGUCACAAAUUUUCUUAUUUUAGAAAACAAAUAGUAAUAUAGAGAGAUUUAAAAUACAAAAAUCAAGGAUAAAGGCUAAGAUGUUUGUUGCUAUAAUAGAGGACAGAUAAUUAAACUACAUUAUCCUUAGUCGUGGCAUCAUCACUAAAUACUUAUCAGAAUUCUCAUGAUUUUGUUUUCUUUUUCCAUCUUCUGACCAAACAAAGAUAUUGGACAUAAUAACUUUAGUUUAAUAUCUUUAGUUCUCUACCGCUACCUAGAGACGUCGCAAUCUCUACCAACCGUCAGAUAUUCCGACCCCAUUAUAGACGGCGAGGAUCUCUGCGUCUCCGUCAUCUCAGAUUCUUUUUUUUGCGAUAUAAAAUUUAAUGAAUAUUUGCUUUGAAGGUCAUUAUGGAAUAAAAACAAACAUUUGAUUUAUUCUUAAUUCCAAAAAGAUAAAUUACUUAAAAUAACUUGCAAAACCGAAGAAAAAAUAUCGGCAACAAGAACAAAACGCUCUUCUAUUUUUUUUCUUCAUCUUCCAAUUUCCAGGAACAAGAUUGGACGAAAUCUAAAGGUAAUCAUCGAACAAAAUAAACAGCUUAGCUUCUAAAAAUCCUUCCUUUACCUCGGGAUUCUUUUUAUGUUUUCGGACAAAUUGACUUUUUUGUGUGUUUAUGAUGGUUUGGAAACUAAUGAUAAAUGAUGUUACUGUUCUUGAUUCUGAAUCGAUUUUGUAAGUUGUAACUCUCUCUUGUUUUAGACCAGGUAACAAAGAAAACAUUUACUGUUUUUGUUUCUCUCCAAUGAAUCACUUGUGUAAAAUAGUUGAGAAUUGUUUCUCUUCAUGUUCAAGAAAUUUGAUUGUUUUAGUUCUUUUUCAAAAUGAAAUCUUUAUUGAGAAGUGAUUGUAGGCAUCGUUUGGAUCAUUUUAUGAAAGGUUUCAUUUUUAUUUGAACCAUCACAGAUGAUAAGCUUUUGUUUCGAUAGGACCUUUGCUAGACUUUUGUGGUUGAAGCUCUUUAUGUUUGGCUGUUGAUUUUUAAGAUCGUUAUUACAAGAGUUUAGUCAGAACAAUGUUUUCUUCUAAUGAUGAUUUUAUGUCUGGUGCAAAGGUAUUGAAUCGCAGAUUUUAGCAGUUUAGUCUCUGAGUAUGACUCUUGUAUUUGCUCUUUUGCUCGUUUUUUUUUUCUAUCAGUGUUUGAUCUGUUCUUUUUUUUCAUUCUUUGGGGAACUUUGGAGUUCAAAUGAAUAGUUUUUCUUCAAGAAUUUGCGUUUUGAUAAAGUAAAAUAAAGAGUCUUUUUGUUACAGGUAUUGCAUCCAUUUAAAAAGUUCAUGGAUAGGUGGUCGGGUAAAAGAGCGCAUGAGGCGCGACCUGACUCUAAGAAGGGUGGUGGUGUUGUUUUCAGAGAUAGAUUUAACAACAAUAGUUGCAAGGUUCCUAUUUGUAGUGAUGAGAAAAAAACGAUGAACUUUACUCGGUUUGUUGGCUCUUCAGAUAAGAAAGAGAAGUCAGUCUUGUCUACAUACCGCUCUUCGCCAAACGGGAAGGAAGUAAUUGGAACUUCCUCUAAGAUUUGUGGCUCUAGCUCCUCUUCUGUGAAAAGUGAGAAGCAACCGUUUUCUCAGAUAGCCAUGGAUUCAUCAGAGAGCAGCAGAGGUAGCGAAGAUGAGGUAGAGACAGAAAUCUUGCAAGUUUCUCUUGGAAGAGAUAAAAGAAAAGCUAACAAUAAACUUAUUUAUGGAAAAGUUAUAACACCAGAAGCGGAAUGUUCAAACUUGCCAUCGAGCUCAAGAAUCAAGAGAGGUUUUAGGCAGAGGUUUGGGUUGAGCAAGCAAGAGUUUCACCCUGGUCCCUCUGGCCAGUCAACAUCUGCCAACCGAGGAUGCAGCCCGUUGUUAUCCGGUGUCAUUCCAAGUGGUUUUGGAUUGGAGAAAAGAUUAAGUCGGAAGGCAGAUACUAUCAAUAAGAGGAAAGUUUAUGGAGAAAGCAGUUCUAGCUCCUCAGCUAGGGGGAAGAAUGUAACAGAAACACCAGCUGAAGUGAGACGUCGUAGUUUUAAUCCGAGAGGUUCUGUUUCAGAUAUUAGACAGGCUAGACACUGCAUUUUGAAUGAUGACAACGAUGUUGCUUCAUUUGGGAGUCAGAGAUUGGCAGAUAGAAGUAAUAGUCGCAUUAGAUUCUCAAACCCUGGGAGUGGUAGAGAAGCUUUAUCCUCUGUCACGGCAACAGAGAUGUCUCAGACUGAGACAUCAAACAAUCUCAAUUCUCCUGUCUCUUUGGAGCUGUUCUCUGGUUUCCCAGAAUUUGGCCUCUCUGGUUCCUUAUUGAGUCAAGACAGUUUUCGCAGUUACAAUUUAGAUGGGAUCUCGGAGGUAACUAUUUCCUGUUACUCUACAACUUGACAUCUUGUCUGAGCAUCAUCAACUAGUGCUUACAACAAUGCCCUUAGCACCGUUUAACUUUUGGUGUUUUGUAUUGCUCGGAUGCUUUUGCAGAUUUUGCCAGAACUUGAUAGGAUUGAACAAGAUAUCGAGCUUAAUUAUGAGGUUAAAAUUUGACACAUGUUUUGACUUUUGAGUUUCAGAUGUUGUGAUAGUGUUGUUACUCAUAUUUUCCUCUCCCUUAUCAGGAGCUGCUUAUCAUGGAGACAGGUUUACUUCUCGGUGGACUAAGCUUCCAUGACCAACACCGAGACAUGAGGCUAGACAUAGAUAACAUGUCAUAUGAGGUUCGUCCUUACAUCUUUCAAACUCGUGUUCCGUAUUGGGAUGUAGUAUCUUUACCGUUUUGUCUUUUUAUUUUUGAAUGAAUACAGGAACUAUUAGCUCUUGAAGAGAGGAUUGGUACAGUAAGCACUGCUCUCACAGAAGAAGCAAUAUCAAAGUGCUUGAAAACAAGCAUCUAUCAGAUGAAACCUGUAACUUAUGGGUCUAUCACCAAAAGUCCUAGUGAUCACAAGGAAGAUGCCAAAUGCAGCAUCUGCCAGGUUUGUCUUGUUAGUCAUAAUCAAGCCUUUGGCUUUGAUGAAAUCUUAAGGAAAGCCUGCCAUGAGUUGAUGUAGCUAAGUGAACAACACCAAACUUUGUCUAUUGUUGCGGGUGCUGUCACAAAGUGUAAUGGAAAUCUUUGAUUAUUACAGGCGUUUCAUUGAUGCAUGAUGGUGAAUAUAGAACUGAUAUGUAUUUGUAUAUGUAAAAUCAGAAAUUUUCUUUACCUUUUCUCUACAGUUCUUCACACUCUGAUCUUUGUGGUUUACAGGAAGAGUAUACAAUAGGAGAUGAAGUUGGGAGGCUACACUGUGAGCACACAUACCAUGUGAAGUGUGUGCAAGAGUGGUUGCGGAUGAAGAGUUGGUGCCCAAUCUGCAAAGCCACUGCCGAAACUUCCUCUAAAUAACUGUCUUCUUCUUCUUCCUCGUUCGUUGUAUUAUUUAUUUCAUCUAAAGCCUGUGAACAACAAUGGAACCUGCCUAGAAAGGGCCUCACCAUUUCCUUUGUGUACAUACCAAUUCACACCGGCUCUGUCUCUCUUUCUAUAUUCCUUUUGUCUAAUGACAAAGCUAUCCUGUGUUUCUCUUCGUCUUUUCACCUGUUUCCUGUUGAUUUCCGUAAUGUAAAGUGGGAAAGGCGGAAAAUAUGUCAUUUGAACUUUGAAGAUUAAGAAAACGUCAUCUUGAAUUCUUAAACUUGGACAAUUUGUUGAAAAACAACAAAGAGCGUGCGUGGUUCUUUGGAUCUCUGGACUUGUGGGAAAACUUAAAAAGACAUUCAAAGAAGAAAAUGGAGUCGCCUUCUGCAUAUUUUCAAAGUAAAAGCCAAAGGUUUCCCAAAAAAGAGAGCAACAAUUACUGUUGGAUAGACUGAGAAGCCGAAAGCAGAAUCAUCACGGGAUUUAGAAUCUGAGAAUUUCAUGAUUCUCCAUAGCGAGAGUAUAAUACAUUUUCCCAUUUGUAAUUCAGCUCAAGUAUUACUUGAUAGGAUCAUCUGAAACAGUUUAUGUCAAUACCUUGUAGGGUAAAAGAAACAAGUAAGAAAACCAACCAGUAGAAUGUAAAAAUGAGGCAAUUCACUGAUUUUGAAAAUAACUUUUUCACUGAAAUGAGGUAACAAAAAUGUAAAUGUAAAUGUAAAAGUGAUGUCAAUGUGUCUUCAAGAUAUAAAUUCUAAAACAAUUCUAAGACUAUGUUACAUACAGAGCAAUACUGCAACUAUUACGUGAUUGUUUGUACCUUGCUCUUGCCUAAAACCCACAGUAUCUCAGCCAAAACUUUCUCUUGAUUUCCUUAUCGGCCUGCGUUUACACUCAAAGCUUGAAACUCGCUGGAAUGGCCAGAUUUCUUUUGAUCUUACAACAACACGUAUUCAUUCAUAUCUACUAACCUGCCCCGAGUCUGCGGCUCCAGGACAUAGUUGGGUCAAUCAGCCAUCAGGUCCAUCAUGGGAUACAGAGCUCAAGAAUUGUUUUCUACCAAAAUCAGUGGCCAGUCUUUUUGGACCAGAGAGCUUACUCAGACAAUUUGCAGCAUCCAAUAUGCCUAACCAUUUUCUUUCACACCCCUUCUCGUUCCUCGAAUGAACAUAUGGAAAUUCUUUCCCGUAGCAAUGGCCAGUCUUCACCAAGUUGAUGCGGAUUUAGCUCCAUUGCAACUCUAAAAUCAAGCAAAGACACUGAAUGUUGUUCUUGCGUUAUGUCAGAUGGUUGGUUGCUAGUUUGUAUGUGCAAACUAUUACUCGUCCGCACCCCAUUUACAAGCUCGUCUCGGCUCUGCUGUUUGUCUAAACUUUGUUUUCCAGGCGUUCCAUUCAUGGACCGAGCUCCAGCCAAAUCAACGCAUGAUUUCAUUAGUUUCUUCAGGUACAAGUCCAACAUGUUAUUUAAAACAGUAGAACACUCCGCGGAAACCCCUCCAAGACCCUGUGCUACUGCAAUAUUCUCCAUCCUCUUCCUCAGCAUCUCUGUGUCUGACAAUCCACCACUGUCAUAGCAACUGAUAGCAUCUGCGCUGGUCGAAAUUGGAACUGUUCUGCGAUCCCCACCGACACUAGCCGAGCAGAAUGGGAUCCCCAGAGGUGCAACUACAGGAGGCAUGGAAAGAAUCAAACUACCUCGCUCUUCUUGGGCUUCAUCAUCCCUGCUAAGAGGAGCUGCAACCUGACCUUUACCCGAAUCCCUCUUUUGUUCAGCAGGGCAAAGAAAUGCACUGUCUCUUUCAUCAGCAUAGCGACCUGAUCUUUGAUAAGCAAAAGGACCCGAAUCCCUGUUCUCCGUGUUACUAUUACCGGUUCUGUCAACCUUUCCGUUUGGCCCUAGUGGACAAGGCUUAUCUCUGAUUGUACUGUCACACGUUCCAAACCGAACGUUGGGUAACACCCCAUUUGAGCAAACAGGAUCAUUCCUACUAUGGUCAGGAAUUAGAGGUCCGCUUUGUUCAGGUCCAUCCUCUUUCCCAAGCACCAAAGAUUUGCCAGGGUGACCGGUUUGGUGACCUGGUGGUGGGGACUUAGCCAGAGACGCAUUUCUCAAGAUGGAACGAAUCAACUUGUUGUGUAGAGAAAGAUUCUCUCUCCCCAAAAGACGGAAACAUGACUUAUCAAACUCACUCUUAGUAAGCUUCUGACUCAGAAACCUGCCCAAAUAGUAAAAAUACCUUCUAGAUCUUUCAACCCCAAUCUUCUUCACUAUAUGCACUUUCAGGUCAGCUAGAUCAACCCUGGGAUCUUGAAGACGUUGCAUACUUGUUUCUUCUUCUUCUUCUUCUUCUAAAACCGAAACCAGAUGAAACAGUCAGAGGAGUGCACAAAAUGCACCCUCUCAGCUUCUAGUUAUCCUUCACACAAACAAACCCAACUCAUCAACGUAUUAUUUCUCAAACUCAAAUCCAAGAGCAUUUCAAGAACUCAGCUGCAGCUUUUAGUACAGGCCACUCCAAUUGCAUCCAAAAGCUCUUUCAUUUUCCCAAACGACCCAGAAUUCGUAAAUCUCAUGUUCCCAAAACCAAAACCCUAGAGAUCAUUAUCUACUAGCCAGCUUAUACCAAGAACCUUAAAAUUCAACCUCGGCUGAUUCAGUAUCAGAAUGGAUUAAAAACCCUAGCUUGGAGUCAGCAAAUCAAUCCAUCAAGAAGGAAGAACCACCAACUAACCGUUUCUCCAAGUUCACGAGCGAGUAAGAAGACGAAACUGAAUCAGAGCAGAAAAACCCAAGCAUUUUUUGCUUCACGCCCAAUUCGGAAGCUAAGAACUUGAGAAUUUCCGAAAUUUGAGUUGGAGAAAAUCGAGAUCAGUGGAGUUGGACAAAUGAUUGGAGCUUUGAGAACAGAGCACCAGAUUCGAAUUGCCUAAAGAAAAAGAUGAAAUUCGAAUUGAAGAAGGAGGAAGCGGGCAAUGAGAAGCGGGACCCAAGCUUGGAAGCAGAAAAACAAGUGUUGGAAGAUUGAUUUAGAGUAGGAAAGAUUUGACCAGAAUUCAGACACGAAAACAAAAUCGGAACAUAACAAGUAACUUCCCAGAGUUCCGACACCAACCCAAUGAUUUCUCGGCUCCUUAAUAAUAAUAAUACACUUCUGCUUCGAUUGAAUCUUGCUGGCUUCUUGUUUCGUAUUGCUGCUUUUCAGAUUUGAAUGUCCGAGCGCUUUCGCUCUUGUGUGUUUGUUUAUUAGCUUCGAUCGCUGCUUAUUGGGUUUUGUUGUUCGUUUUUCUUCACUUUUGUUUCUGUCUGUUUUUUUUUUUUUUUUUGUUUCUCUCUCUCUCACUCUCUGUCUUGAUAAAAUUUGGUUUAUUGGGUUUCUUCUUUUCGCUCGUUAUUGCUUUUGUACUUUCGACUAAAUCGAGUUUGAUGUAAGAAAUUCUGUAACAACAAUAGAUUAAACCCAUUUGAUUUAUUCAUCUUGCAAUGUUCUGAUCUGAGUGAUCUCAUCUAAUAUCGGAUCAUGUCAGAAUUUCUUUACUUGAUACAAGUGACAAUUUAUUUACAAGAUUAAAGAUGAGUGUUAGUACUUGAGAUUUCCCCCAAAUAUUAGGUGUUGGCUUUUUGGUCAAGUAAAAAGAUUUUAAAAUUUGGCGUUGAACAAAAGAAAAAGAGUUUCAAUAUGGAAUUUGCAAACUACAAAGCUUCGUCAGCUGGAACAAAACCAAGCUUCAAACUUACAACAUUAAACAUUAGAGAUUCAGACAAAUGAAAGAAAAAACAGAGACACAAUUCCACAUAACUCGACAAGACAUAUCCUCCUAACUCAAAUACUACAAGAAAACCUACAAAGAUUACCAAGUGACAAAGACCAAACACAAACAGAUGUGGGAUUCAAUCUAAAAGAGAUGUCACAUAAUCCUACCUCAUAAUACUCUCCUACUGCAUUGUGUUUGUUGUGUACAGCUCAUCUUACAGAGUUUAUUUGGCCCGUCCUUUGCCUCGACCUCCUCGGCCUCUUCCUCUCCCCCGCCCUCUUCCUCUUCUGCUGUAUGCCAAGACCUUCGUAGUUCCCGGGCUGCUACUUGCUGAGUUUGAGUUCGGUAGAGACUGGUCUCCUGGGAGCCACUCUUCUUCAUGAGUGCUUGAACUGUUAUGCGAGCCACUUGAGUGGCUGUCAUUGUUUUCGUUAUUAAUUGCACCAUCUGAGCCAUUCCCUACUGUCAUAUCAUCACCAUGAAUUUCAGCUACAGGCUGAGAAGCCUCGGUUUCUUCUGGUGGUGUGGGUUUUGGUUGACCUUCCACCACUGGUGAACUGAAAAAGUAAGGCUUUGCUUAGUAUGAAAUAAUAUCAUCAUGUCAAACUAGACAGACAAAUGAGGUGGAAGGUGAACUGAAAAAGUAAGGCUUUGCUUAGUAUGAAAUAAUGUCAUCAUGUCAAACUAGACAGACAAAUGAGUUGUUUUUUCACCUAGGUGAUGAAGAUGGGAAACCGUUAAAAGUAGCACGUGAUGCGCCUAUUUCAUCAGCUUCUUUUGAUGUUUCAAACACAUCUUUAGGGAUGCAAGAAGAGUUCCCAGUUGGAUCCAAAGUUGCCCCAAGAGCCAAGACAGCUGCAUUAAUAGGAACGCAAGUAAUUUAAGAGAACCCAACUAAACAUCAUCCAGCACCAAAGGAAUUCAACAUACCAUGUAUACCAUUUGUGGUGUUUCCGAUAGUAGAGCUAGGUUGGAUAAAAUCGCCAUCUUGAUCAUUGAAGUCAUCUACAGCGGUUCCACUGUCACAUACAGUUGAGAAACUUCAGAAGAUUGAUAUACUAAAAAAUGGAUCUGUCGAAAAGAAACAAGUUACAAUCUGUGUUGGAAGGAUAAGCACAAUAAAAAGAACCUUUGAGGAGCGGUAUUUGUAUCUUCAGACGGCUUGACUCCUUGUGUGGAGAUAAAUGUCUCGUCCAAACCAACUCCACCUAAUCAGAACACAUUAAAUUCAUGAGACAGAGUAUAAAAAUCGAAUAUUAGAGAGUGUAUACAAAUUAAGGAUUAAGGGAGAAACUAACAAGAUCUAGUAUGUAAAACUCCUGUUUCUCCGACGGCUAGAUUAGCUUCCGUAGUCUUCACUCAAGUAAAACACAUAAGGACACCAAAAAAAGAAAAGAUUGGAACUGCAAGUUUCUUCUUGGUAUAGAGAGACACAUAGUGUAAAGAGUGCUUGAUACCUGAUUGUGUUCAGAGGUAGGUAUGGCUGAAUUUGGUAGAGCUCUGCUUUGUUCAUACCGUACAGCUGAAAGAACAGAAAAAAAAGAGUUACUCAUGUGACCAGAGCCGAAAAUACUUUCAGUUUCAUCUCAUGUCUUACUGAAAAACUUCGACCACAUGUAAAUAAAGAAAGAAAAAAAUACCUCCAUCAGCAUUCAAAGACGAAGCAUUUCCUUUGAGCAUAUCAGUCGCUAAAACAUAGGGGCUGUAUUUAGGUUCCAAAGAGGCUACACUACUAGGACUUUUAAGCAUUUCCUCUGUUGCUUUAGCUCUGACUUUGCGAAUUUCAUCUUGAAUAUUCCAUGAUUGAUUAGAACCGGACUUCCUUUUCAGCUGCAUUUUGGUAUUAAAUGUCAGAAUGGAUAAGGGUAAAUUUGAGAGAGCCAUUCAAAAUACAUAAUGGUAUGCAACUUUUCUUUAGGAAAAGCUGGAAAUAGUGUCCCACAAAUUCCUCGUGGUUAUCUAACAUAAACAAUAGAAGUUAAGCAGAGAAUUUUAUCUUAUAAACCAAGGUAAAACAACUUCAGACUUUCAAACAACAUUUGACCAUAAGAAAAGUAUGCACUGCUGGAAAACUUAAAAUUCUAACCUUAGAUGAGGAAAAGUUUCCAGCGCUAUAAGGAAAGGGUGUCCCUUGCAUUCCUGCUGAUGAUGGUGAUCGAAACUCUGCUGGAGAUCCCCAUGGCAGACGAGCUCGCAUGUAAGACUUGGCCACGUCCACAGGCGAUCCAGCACCAUCUUCAGUUGCCUAGAGAAUUAAACUAAUGGCUGAGAUGGUGAUCAUCAUUUAAAGCACAAUGGAAAAGAAACACAUAUGGCGGAAUAAUGUGAAGCAAAGCUAUCAGAAGUUGACCGAAAUCAUGUGAGCAAAUGGUCUUCAUAGUAAAAAAAAAAGAGCAACAAUAUGGAUCUUUUGCAUUUUAAGCGGACAAAAAAGUAGUUUCCAAUCAGGACAUUUCAGGAUUAAUGUCACCAGAUGGCCACACUCAAAAUUCUAAACAACCUACUUUUGCAAGAGAGCUUUACGUUGCUGAUCACAUGGAGUGGCAUAGAACAAUAAAAUCAUUUUACACAAACAGAAGAUGUCUCCUUCUAUAAUAACAAUGGCUUAGAGCACAGAGACAGAUAUCACAAAAAAGUACAAACCUGCAGGCUGCAGCAAUAUGGAACAGUUAAGAAGAGUUAGAACUUACUGUAUACUUUGAACUUGAUCCUGAUUUCUUUUCCUCCAACCAUUUUCUUGCUUCCAUGACAGUUGUAUUGGACAUUUCACCAACAUUCACAUCUAGAAAUAGAACAGAAAAGACGUUAUCACAUUGACUAAUCCGGUCUGCUUGCACAGUCUACCAUCAGUUACAUACCACUUGUCAAUCCAUUGUCAUUAUGCCUCCCCUCAACAGCAGAGGGGACACUAGGAUGAUCGACAACCCUAGCCUUGAUGAUAUCUAUUAAUCUAUCACCCUCUUCCCUGGAACAACAUACACAUGAAUGAAUAAGCAGGAUACAAGAUCAGCUUAGAUUUGUUAACUAAACAAAUAUCACAAAGAUUCUUUUAAGCUAAGAGCUGUAAAUAUUAAAUAAUAAGACUCGCGGAAGAGGCUGCAACUUAUGAUGUCCAGAAAGCCAGACAUAGAGAAAUACCUUGCAAAUGUUUCUUGCAUGAGAAGCUGCUCAAUUACACGCUUAGAACUGAGUCGUUGGAUGGUUGGUUGCUGGGCAGUCAGAAGGUCCUAUUCACACAAGCACACAUCAAAUUCACUCCACAAGUUCACAUAAACUGAAAUCAUGCUUUCAUCAAAAAACUUUUAGUUGAAAACGUGUUAGAACUUUACUUCUACAAAAUCAGGAUCACAUUACAAUUCAUACACAUACUAAAAAGGCGAAAGGUGACUCAGUACAAAACUAGCAGAAAAAUAAUCAAUCUUUAGCAACACCAUAAUCCACUGCGGCUACAGAGCAGAAUCAAUCAUAAGAAUAAUGAAUUCAAACAAAUAUCUAGAACUACAGUGGCAGAGCAAUCACCAAAACGAACAAGGUGGUUAGUACCUCUUCAGUAAAAUCGGUAAUGGUCUUCUCAACAUCCUCAUCACCAUCAAUAUCUGCACACAAAGAGGUUAACAUGUAAAAAUCCGUACUUUAAAAGAAUAAGACACAAAGCUGGUCGGGUCGGUUCUAUUAAUUCCAGAACUACUUCAUAUGCAAACCAAGGAAGAGAACGGGUCGACCUAAUCCCAGAACUACAUUAUAUGCAUAAAAAUUAGAGCUUUAGAAUUAGUAUGAAGGUUAUAGCUUUAGAAGUAACCUAACUAAAUAGAGUAGAGUAGUAAUUCACCACUGCUUAACUGCUAUUAAGUCCCACAUAUCAAAGGAAAGAGAAAAUGGGAAAGCUUUAAAUCAAAAUUCACAUUUCAAAUGAAACGGUAGGUUUCAGAUUCGAACAGAUAAUAAACCAAAAAUUCAAAUGAAUCAUAUCUAAACCCAAAUAAAUUGUACAAACCUGAAGAUGAAUCCUCGUCCUCCUCCGAAGACGAGGAAGAGUCGGAGAAGACGACGGAAGAAAUGAAUUUUCCGGCGCCGGAGGCAAUUACGCUGGCGGGUUUGUAAACGAGCCUGGAGAUCCAACUAGGGUUUUGCUGAGGAGGAUCUCGGGAUCUCGGAACGGGGCGGUCAUACGGCGUCCUGACGGCGGCGGUGCGUCGUGGUCGAACAAUUUUUCCUCCGGUACGAGGCUGACCUACUCCGGCGGGGUAACCGGAGACGGAAUCCAUGGUGAAAGUGAGAGGAGGAGGAGGGAGAAGUUCGUUGAAGGAAAUAAUGAAGUGUUGGGGAAAAUUGGUAAUUUCUCGUUAUUUGUCGUCUUCUUGUUUUUUUUUUUAAUUGGGGGUGAAAGGUUAGUUUCCUAAAUUACAGGCCUGCGGUUAAAAUUUGCUUCCACCAAUAAAAUUAGGCAAAAAAACAAAACAUUCCGACUAUAAAAAAAAAUUAACUGUAGUGUAUAAUCAUGUAUUAUAUAUUCAUUUGUUUUCAUAUUUUGAAAUUUGAACAAUGUACAUGACGUAGAAAAAAGAAAAAAAUAAGAGAGAGAUUAUAAUUUGGAAAAAAAAGUCAUGAUAGAACGAAGUAAUUAAUAAAGUUGUAAAAAGUUAUUUCAAAAAUAAUAUUUAAACAAUUUAAAUUAAAAUUUGGUUUUUAGUUUAUUUUUAUUUGCACCGAAUGGUACUUACUGUAAUUCGUCAACUACUGUAUGUCAGUGUUAAAAAAAGCUAAAAUAAUGGGCCCAAUGGGCUAUAUUAAUAUCGGGUCAAGGACGGGUCAGAAACAACCCGAUCGGAUCUAAAAUGGGCGCCUUCUUUUUCAUUUUGAUGGCAAUCAAUCAAUCGACGCUUCUUUAGAGACAAACGCAAUCGCCGAUCCAUUUACGAGCCGUCGUCGCUUUACACAUAUCAACAAUCCUUAUCCUCCAGUUUCCAUUUCUAGAUCGAUCGAGAUUGAAGGAGAGAAGAUGCCUGGUUUAACAUGUAACGCGUGUAACAUGGAGUUCAAGGACGAAGAAGAGCGUAACCUUCAUUACAAAUCCGAUUGGCACCGCUACAAUCUCAAGCGCAAGGUCAAUUUUCUGCUGUUUUCUCUAACCCAAUUUGACCUCAGACUAUUUUUGUAUACUUUUUCCAUUUUGCUGUCGAAAUGAUUUGUUUUAAGGUUAUAGAAUCGUUCUCUUGCAGGGGAAGAAAGUCUCUAGAUUUUAUAUGAAAUCUUGAUUUGAAGCUUAUCAUAGAUUUGGUUUCUUGUACGCAUUUGAAUCUUUUUGUAUUUAUGGAAUUUUUGUUGUUAGGUGGCUGGAGUUCCUGGAGUUACAGAAGCCUUGUUUGAGGCUAGACAAUCUGCUCUUGCUCUGGAGAAGAAUAAAUCAAAUGAAGCUCCUAUGCUUUAUACUUGUGGAAUCUGUGGUAAAGGUUACAGGAGUUCCAAGGCUCAUGAGCAGCAUCUUCAGUCCCGGAGCCAUGUUUUGCGGGUUUCACAAGGCCCAUCAAUCAACGGAGAGGAGGAUAUAGCGAUUAUCAGGCAACUUCCUCGCCGUGUUCAACACAGGGGUUCCAUUGAUGAUGAUAGUGAAGAUGAAUGGGUGGAGGUUGAUUCUGACGACGAAUUGGCUGCUGAAGAAGCCUCACAUUCGUUGUCUAAGUUGAAUGUGAUUGAGUCAGGAUCUGCUGAAGAUAUGGAUGAUGAUGGUGAUGCAGACAAGUAUGAGCUGGACCCAACCUGCUGUUUGAUGUGUGACAAAACCCAUAAGACCUUAGAGAGCUGUAUGGUUCACAUGCAUAAGCACCAUGGUUUCUUCAUUCCCGAUAUCGAGUAUCUCAAGGAUCCUGAAGGGCUUCUCACUUACCUCGGUCUCAAGGUUUGGACUCAUCAAUUUACCAUUCACUGUUCGUUGUUGUCAAGCUUUCAAUUUCUUACUCCUAUUUACUUAUACAUGGCUCAUCACUCAGGUCAAGAGAGACUUCAUGUGUCUAUACUGCAAUGAGCUGUGCCGUCCAUUCAGCAGCUUAGAAGCUGUAAGAAAGCAUAUGGAAGCAAAGAGUCAUUGCAAACUGCAUUAUGGUGAUGGUGAUGAUGAUGAAGAUGCUGAACUAGAAGAGUUCUAUGACUACAGCAGCAGGUUUCAACUCUCUUGUAUCUUUGAUUUUUCUUGUUCUCACCUCUAUUCCUCUUUCUAUGCCAAAUCUUAAUGCACCUUCCAUUGGAAUCUAUGAAUUGAGCAGCUAUGUUGAUGAAGCUGGGAAGCAGAUUGUUGUAGCUGGUGAAACAGACAACACUGUAGAACUUGUUGGGGGUUCUGAGCUCCUGAUCACGGAGAAUUCCGAGAACACAAAAACGUCUAAAACUCUCGGGUCCCGUGAAUUCAUGCGUUACUACAGACAGAAGCCACACCCAACUUCUCAAAACAGCAGCCAGAUAAUGUCCUCUUUAUCUUCAAGGUUUGUUUUCUCCAAACCCAUUAGUCAUCCAAACCUAUUAAACUAGCGAAUCGGCAAGUUAAUUUAAGGUUAUUCUCACAAAUGGCAAAUUCUCAGGUACAAGAGUCUGGGUCUGAAGACGGUACCGUCAAAAGAGGAGACAUUGAGGAUGAAAGUGCGCAAGGAGAUGAGUCAGAGAGGUGAGACAAUGCGUACCAAGAUCGGAGUGAAGAGUAAUGUCAUCAGAAACUUGCCCAAUAAUGUCCCAUAUUAGUUUCUGUCUAUUGUCUAGUGUUGGAUUGAAUGAUGAUUUCAUGUACUUUGAGUCUUUGACCAAGUUGUGUUGGUACUUUGGUAAUAAGAGUUAGCUUUAAACAGAGUAUGUUCACUGAAAUAGAAAAUGUUAAAAUUGCUACACGAACGUUGACUUCUGAUUUACUCUCAAUAUCUACAUUGUUCAGAGAUGCAUGUAAAACAAAGAAGAGACCACGACAAAGGGUACUACAAUAUCCCAAAAAGGCUUUUAGUUUUGUUUUUGUACAAAGGCUGUGGCUGCGAGUAAUGUCACAAGACAAACCUAAAAUAAAUUUAUGUGUAGAAGGAAAAAGAAGAGAGAGAGGUCCAAAACCAAGAACACUGGCUACGAAUAGGUUGGUCUGCUUCAUUCGCUUCGCUUCAUUUUCCAGCUGACUGAGAAAGAAAAGAAACAUAAGAGAUCCACAAGAAGAUAGUACCAAAAGCAUAGAAACAGAAAGUUAAUUACCUAAUUUUCAUAGAAGCGGGUUCGACGCCUUCUUGAACUGCAAACCAGAAAAAAUAUGGCAUCAAGCAAUGUUUCUUAAGUAACCAUCAUAUAUAGCACAAUAAAGCUACUAAACCAGGUCAACACCCUGAGCCACUAUGCCAGAGAUAUCACACAAUAGGACCUGAUUUCGUCAUUUAACCUGGCUCACCGGUAAGCCUCUAAUAUCAAUGCAGAAUAAUCAUAUACUAUGAAACUAAGAAUGUACAUCUCUGCAGAACGAAACAGUAACAAAUUAGUGGUGUAAAGCAAUAGAUGGUUCUGACCUUUGGUGCAUAGAGCUACUUCUGUUAGCUCCACUUGUGCUGAUGAACUCAUCAUCGAUCUCAUCUACUCUAUACUCCGGGAACUCUAUGGAUGCUACUGAGCUGUCAUCAGAGUUGGAGUUUUCAUAGCUAGAGCGGCGACUCCCUCUCCUGCUCUCGCUCAUUCUUGAUCUUCUUCGAUUCCUGGCAUUCCUUAUAUUGUCAAACAUUUGGUACAGAAUACAAGAGGUCCACCAGUUUCCUUCAUUGUUAGGAACAUCCUCAAAUUCAUCUCCAGUGUCAUCAUCUCCAUAUUCGAUCACAUAGUCCCCUAAAACCACUCCUCUUGGAACUUCGGAGUGAAUUGUGCUCAACACGUCGAUUAUUUCAGACGACUGCUGGAAAUUCUCCCAAUCAAGCUUCCGUGCUGGAUCAAUUUCUGAAGGACGAGAAUCCGGAUGCUCUGACUGAGCAUGUUUGCGAAGCUCCAAGUAAGUACCCAUAAACCUGCAUCUUUCUUCCUCACAGCAACGUUUUUUCUCAUCAAGACGGACACGGGCUUCUUCUACAACAAGCCAGCCAGUAACUUCUCCUCUACACAGUGGACAAACGGGUUUGCAACUCUCUUCUAGAACCUUAGAGCGAGGUUCAUCAGGGGCUGGAGGUGAAUCAGUACCACAGGCGCUAAUGAAACGAUCCAAACAGUUAGAGUGAAGGUGAUCAGUAUUGCAGACAAAAGCACGGCAGCCGUUUUCGUAAGAAGAACACUGGAGAAGCACACCAUUGUGAGGGAAAUCCAAACAAAUGGGACAAGUUAAAUCAUCCCAAUUGAGAGUCAACUGAAACUCUUGGCUACAAAAGGUCUUAGCUUGAAGCCGCUUUUCACAAACAUGUAGUUCCAGAGCCAUAAGAUCCGCAAAGGAAACAGAUUAUUCCAACUUAUCGGGAAGGAACUAAGUAUCUAUAAUCAGCAACCCUUGAUGGAAGAAAUCAUUUCCCCGGAAUCUGUUACUUGAUAGUAGCUGCAUAUAUGCAUGUAAAUAAGUAUCCACAAUCUUAAAUCUGCUGCAAAAAUAUGAAUGUAAAAAGACAAUUCGAUAAAUGAUAAAACCCCAAAACCAAUACGAUUCAGUCGCUGGUGAAACACGAAGAACCCAAAAGAGAGUGAGAAUCGGAUUCAAAAUCAAACAAUUUUUAGAAAACCGAUCGCAUAAUCAAGAGCAGAAGAACCCUAGCCAAAUUAGAAACGACAGAUCCAAAUCACCGAAUUGGUAAGCAGUAAGCAAACGAAAUCGAAGAAAAAGAGAACGAAAUCGAAGAAGCUGACCUGAGAUUGAAAGUUACAAAGGAAGUGGAAGAAGGGCGAUGAUGGGGUUUGCUUGUGGGGAUAGUGUAUCGCAGUUGGUAGCCUCCUUUUUCUCUCUCUCUCCUACUCUCUCUCAAUCCCCAUAUCCAUUUUUACCUUUUCAAUACAUUAUUAGAGCUAUUUUUAAUAUCAUUAAUAUUAUUAUCUAAAAUAUUAUGUGACGACUUUUUACUUUCGAGUUUCAAGUAAUAAAAUAUGCUACAGGUUAGUCUUUCAAAAAAAGUACAUAUAAGGUCCGAAUGGUAACCGCGGUUUUUGUUGUGCGGAGAAAGCGGUAUGACAGUGCGGUACGGUUCAACUGCGGUACGUGCGGUAUGCGGAACAAAUGCGGUUUUUGUAAAUAAGCGGUACGAAAUAAUGUUUGAUUGGUAAAAAACAAAAAGCGGUGCGGGAUAUACAUUGUAGUUAAAUAAUUUUAAUUAAACAUUCAAAUAUGUAUAUAUAUAUAUAUAUAUAUAUUAAAUAAAAAAUUUCAUAAUAAACAAUAUGAUACAACAGAAAAAUAUUUUUCGAAUAUUUUUUAACUAAUUAUUUAAAUACAUGUGGUUUUUUAUAAAUAUUUUAAGUAUUUAAACAUAAUUUAAAUAAAUAUGGUGAUACAAUUAUAUAUCAUAUAUUUGAAAAAACCAAUAUGACAAAGAAAUAAAACAAACCAAAAAUAACAUGUAUAAUUAAAUAAAUGGUUAAUACAAGUUCUAUUUUUUAAAUUACACAUAUCUCUAUAGACUGUAGAUACCACAUAACGCAAACACAUCAAAUAGGAUGUGAAUUUACUGUAGCGGGCCAACUACAAUAUUUACAAACAAAAUUGAACCGCACUCACAACCCAAAAAAUAAAAAGAAACGUCCCGCACUUGUAAUAUUUUGUUGAUUGGUAACAUAUCAAUGGGUCCCAUGAAAAACGUCCCGCAGUUCUGAAAUCCGCCGUCUCCAUUCACCCCCUAAAUUUGAAUAUUUGAUUUGCAGCUGAUGACUGGAAAAUAUUUUAUUGUGAUUUAUGAGAAGAAAAUUUCCUACAUCUGAUUUAUAAACUUUUGUUUGUGGUUUAUUUAAUAGGGUUUGUUAGAAUUAUUUGAGCUAUAAUUUUCAAUUCUAUAUCGAGUAAAAAUGAUUUUACUUUAUAUUUGUUAACUAUUGUCUGAGUAACAAAUAUUUUGAUUUAGGAAAUAAAUCAACAAAUUCAUCUUGCAAGCUUUGACUAGUUUUUAUUGUUUUUCUUAUGCUUUUUUUUUUAAUUGGUUUGCUUGAAUAUCAAAUUAUCGAAAUUAAGCAAAACUUCUUUUUUUCCACUUUCUUAUUAAACUCGUUAAAAUAAAAAUAAUAAUAAAUUUUUGACAAACAAAAGAAGAUUGGAAUUAAAAAUUCUAAGUUUGUUGUAUUUGACAGUUAUUUCUUAGUGGAGUAAUAAUUCCCAAAAACAAACAAAAGAUAAAGGGUAAAAACGAUCGCUAAAAUAGGGUCCGGGUAACCAGCCCAUUAAUUCAAAUUGGGCUUAACUUAAGGCCCACGUGAAAUAAAUGGAAACUAGAAAAAAGGAAAGUUAUGUUAACUAAAAAAAGGAAACUAGGCGUUACAAAAAAAAAAAAGGAAAUCAGCCAGCUGGCACCGCCGUGAGUAGUGUUUUAUAAAAAGGGGAAAGCUUAUCAGAGAGAGUCAGAAUUUGUUUUGCCUUCUUCUUUCUCUGUUUGUCAUAUUUCUCUCGAUCGCUAUAUCAUAACAUCAUAACGGAAGACGAUUUGUAGAAUGUAAGAAUUCUUCCGAUUCUCUUGAUUUCUAGGGUUGUUUUAUAUUUUAACUAUUAAUCAGUUCUUUCUCUGUUUCGCAUGUUUCUCUCUAUCGGAUCAUUCAUGAUCGAAGAAGUUUUGUAGCGAUAAUCACUGUAAGAAUUCUUCUCUCUUGAUUUCUAGGGUUACUAAACUUCAUUAUUAUCAGUUUUUUUUUUUUGUUCUGUUCUUUUGGUUUUCUGUUCGUUUUGAAGCGGCUUGGAUAAUUUGAAAACCAAACGAAUCGCGACUCUGCGUUUCAAAGUUUUCUGAGAAUUAUUACAAGUUCGUUCUUCUUCUUUUUUUGUGUUACUUGAUUCUGUUUAAGAGGGUUUGGUUUCCGUUUUUUGUUUUGCUUUUGUAGCGCUUUCGAUACUUUGAUAAAGCGUGAAAUUGUUGCGAUCGGUUGUGGUUUAUUGCUCUGCGUUUUUCUGUUUUGUUUUUGUUAGAUUUCUUCCUUGUUUUGUUUUUUUUUCAAAAUCCAAGAGAGAUCAUAUGCAGACACUCAACUAUUAGUGUUCUGUCAGAUUCUUUCUUGGGGACAUUGUCCCGUCGAGUUGGCUUAUGAGGGAUUUUUGACCUGAGACUGAAAACCGAUCCUUUACCCACGGCUUAUUAUUUUGACAAAUAUACUUGGGAUUGGUUUCAGGUUACUGGUCAAAGAUCAAGUUACCCACGGCUUAAAAAAGUCUUUAGACAGAGACUUGAGUUUCCAAAAAACCAAUCCUUUAGACAAAACACUGGAUUGGGUUAUGUUUGGUGCAAGGAAAAUGGUACCAUACGGCUUAAAACUUUAGCCUUUAGACUGAGACUUGAGACUGAACAUUGAUCCUUCUUGGUACCCACGGCUUGAAAAUCUCUAGACAUAUGGAUCAUGUUCGGUUUCUUGUUUCAGUCUAUAGACAAAGAAAUAGUUACCCACGGCUUAAAAAAAGUCUUUAGACAGAGACUUGAGGUUCUAAAAACCAAUCCUUUCGACACAAGAUUGGAUUGGGUUAUGUUUGGUGGAAUGAAAAUGGUACCCACGGCUUCAAACUUUAGUCUUUAGACUGAGACUGAUUCUGAACUUUGAUCCCUUCUUGGUACCCACGGCUUUAAAAUCUUUAGACAUAUGGAUCAUGUUUGGUUUCUUGUUUCAGUCUUUAGACAAAGAACAGUUACCCACGGCUUAAAAAGUCUUUAGACAGAGACUUGAGGUUCUAAAAACCAAUCCUUUAGCCAAAAGAUUGGAUUGGGUUAUGUUUGGUGGGAUGAAAAUGGUACCCACGGCUUCAAAAUUUAGUCUUUAGACUGAGACUGAUUCUGAACACUGAUCCUUCUUGGUACCCACGGCUUGAAAAUCUCUAGACAAUAUGGAUCAUGUUCGGUUUCUUUUUUCAGUCUUUAGACAAAAAAAUAGUUACCCACGGCUUAAAAAUUGUCUUUAGACAGAGACUUGAGGUUCUAAAAACCAAUCCUUUAGACACAAGAUUGGAUUGGGUUAUGUUUGGUGGAAGGAAAAUGGUACCCACGGCUUCAAACUUUUGUCUUUAGACUGAGACUGAUUCUGAACUUUGAUCCCUUCUUGGUACCCACGGCUUGAAAAUCUUUAGACAUAUGGAUCAUGUUUGGUUUCUUGUUUCAGUCUUUAGACAAAGAACAGUUACCCACGGCUUAAAAAAGUCUUUAGACAGAGACUUAAGGUUCUAAAAACCAAUCCUUUAGCCAAAAGAUUGGAUUGGGUUAUGUUUGGUGGAAGGAAAAUGGUACCCACGGCUUCAAACAUAAGUCUUUAGACUGAGACUGAUUCUGAACAUUGAUCCUUCUUGGUACCCACGGCUUGAAAAUCUCUAGACAUAUGGAUCAUGUUCGGUUUCUUUUUUCAGUCUUUAGACAAAGAAACAGUUACCCACGGCUUAAAAAAGUCUUUAGACAGAGACUUAAGGUUCUAAAAACCAGUCCUUUAGACACAAGAUUGGAUUGGGAUAUGUUUGGUGGAAGGAAAAUGGUACCCACGGCUUCAAACUUUUGUCUUUAGACUGAGACUUAUUCUGAACAUUGAUCCCUUCUUGGUACCCACGGCUUGAAAUGUUUUAGACAUAUGGAUCAUGUUCGGUUUCUUGUUUCAGUCUUUAGACAAACAUCAAGUUACCCAUGGCUUAAAAAAGUCUUUAGACAGAGACUUGAGGUUCUAAAAACCAAUCCUUUAGACAAAAGAUUGGAUUGGAUCAUGUUUGGUUAAAGGAAAAUGGUACCCACGGCUUCAAACUUUAAUCUUUAGACUGAGACUGAGACUGAACAUUGAUCCUCCUUGGUACCCACGGCUUUAAAAUCACUAGACAUAUGGAUCAUGUUCGGUUUCUUGUUUCAGUCUUUAGACAACAGUUACACACGGCUUUAAAAAUGACGUCUUUAGACAGAGACUUGAGGGACAAAACACUGGAUUGGGUUAUGUUUGGUGCUAGGAAAAUGGUACCAUACGGCUUAAAACUUUAAGUCUUUAGACUGAGACUUGAGACUGAACAUUGAUCCUUCUUCGUACCCACGGCUUGAAAAUCACUAGACAUAUGGAUCAUGUUUGGUUUCUUGUUUCAGUCUUUAGAUAAAGAAACACCCACGGCUUAAAACAUUAUAAGUCUUUAGACAGAGACUUAUAAUUUUAAACAAUGGAAACUUGUAUAAUAAAUAUACAAGACGAUGUUAAUCUAACCGGAUUUUGGAUCCCGUCAUUGAUCGUUAGCGAUUCCACAAAUUCAACUUGUUUUCACAUCCUUAUGUAGAUUUAGCAUACAAGUUUCUGUUGAAAAAAAUAAAUACAAGAUUCUUAUGUUGGUUGAUGGAAAAUGGUACCCACAGCUUCAAACUUUGGACUGAGACUUGAGACUGAACAUUGAUCCUUCUUGGUACCCACGGCUUGAAAAUUUAUAGACAUAUGGAACAUGUUUGGUUUCUUUUUUCAGUCUUUAGAGUUUAGAGCAUCCACAAUGGUGCAUGUGGGAGUAUGGGUGUGAGUGGUGAUUUAUUAAUAAAAUAAUGUAAGGGUGUGAAGAUUGAGUGCUGAUUUAUUAAUAAAAUAAUGUGGGAGUAUGGGUGUGAGUGGUGAUUUUUCUAUGUCAAAAAAUCGGAACCAACAAAACAAAGACACAUGUCCCUCACAACCGAGUGUAAACUAACACUCGAAUACCAACUCCAAACUUACUGUUCUCUUAUUUGUGUAUAUUUUAAUAGUCACACCCACACAAAAAAUAGAUCGUUGUGUAUGGUCUUAGAGAAAGAAACAGUUACCUACGGAUUAAAAAAGUCUUUAGACAAAGACUUGAGGUUCGAAAUAACCAAUCCUUUAGACAAAAGAUUGGAUUGGGUUAUGUUUGGUUGAAGGGAAAUGGUACCCACGGCUUCAAACUUUAGUCUUUACUCUGAGGCUUGAGAUUCGAACAUUGAUCCUUCUUGGUACCCACGGCUUGAAAAUCUGUAGACAUAUGGAUCAUCUUCGGUUUAUUUUUUCAGUCUUUAGACAAAGAAAUAGUUACCCACGACUUAAAAAAGUCUUUAGGCAGAGACUUAAGGUUCUAAAAACCAAUCCUUUAGACACAAGAUUGGAUUGGGUUAUGUUUGGUGGAAGGAAAAUGGUACCCACGGCUUCAAACUUGGAAAAUGGUACCCACGGCUUCAAACUUUUGUCUUUAGACUGAGACUUAUUCUGAACAUUGAUCCCUUCUUGGUACCCACGGCUUGAAAUUUUUUAGACAUAUGGAUCAUGUUCGGUUUCUUGUUUCAGUCUUUAGACAAACAUCAAGUGACCCAUGGCUUAAAAAAGUCUUUAGACAGAGACUUGAGGUUCGAAAAAAGCAACCUUUAGACAAAAGAUUGGAUUGAGUUGUGUUUAGUGGAAUGAAAAUGAUACCCACGGCUUGAUCUACAAGAUGAUGUUAAACUAACCGGAUUUUGGAUCCUGUCAUUGAUCGUUAGCGAUUCCACAAAUUCAACUUGUUUUUGCAUCGUUACGUAGAUUUAGCAUACAAGAAUCCAUUGAAAACAAAAAACAUACAAGUUUCUUAUAUUUUAAGAAAAGAGUUCCAAUUUGUUUCCAUACGUUUAGUUACGAAGCUUGUAAAAGGGUUCGUAGAUGUGUGGAUUAGUGUACAAUUUGUAUGAAUACAUGGUUCAAUUUUUAAGAUUAGAAAGAUCAGUUAGGAUCAAAGGAAGAUUAAAGGGGAUAAUGGAAGAUUCAAGAUUGAAAGCAGAAAAGGAGAGGUCAAUCAAAAUAAAAGAAUAUAUGUUGCUCUUUUUGUUUGUUAUGGGAUCAGCCAAUCAAUAUUUCACCCACUUGCUAAUAUGUAAAAGACAGACAAAAAGAGUAACAGUGAAGAUGAUGGUUGUGAUGUAAUGAAAUCUAUGCCGUUUAAGAAAAGAGAGUAUCAAUUAGCUGAGCUUUGUAAACUAAGAAUGAACAAGUUCCAAAAUAAUUAGAUCCAAAAGAUCUUCCAAUGGAGCUUGGUUGUGAAAAUGCUAACUGAGAUUUCUCCAACAUGCACCCAUUGUUGCAAAAGCUUUCCCUGCGAUUUUAUACAAACAUACAAACAAAAUGUCACCAUAAUGUAUGAAUGUUUGUUCACCACGACAAUGGUUUUAGGUUCUUUACCUCGUGGUAUCGAGUAACCAUGUGGCUAUGCCUUUUCUUCUGUUAGAAGGUGAGACCCAAAUCGCUCUAAUCCCACAAACAGCCGGUUUAGCUUCUUCCUCGCAUACUAUUGCUCCGCAGUCUAAUCUAUCAUCUGAUGCUCGACAUCUUUUAGAUACUUCUCUUUGUAACACAAUGUUUCCAAACUGAAUGGAGGUUGAAGGCGAGGAGGUGCUCUCUUUUUGUAACUGUCUUUCAUCAUCAGGAGAAGGUAUGAGCUUAAAUGCUUCCUUAAUUGGUUCUGCAACUAGACAUCCAGAGAUCCUCUGAGAGGAUAUGAAUAGAUAAACCUACACAUAACAAGGUAGUUCUUGAAAUAACUGAGGAAAGUAAUUACAGGUUAUAUCAUCUUUCUUGUGAAUUUGUUGAAUGAUGCCAUAUAAAGAAAUUAAAGAAACUCCUCUUUUCAGGGAAUCAGAUUUCUUGUUUGAUUUCAAUGCUAGUCAUAGACAUGGAAGGAAUCAGACUAAGUCGAAGUUUUCCUCUUUUAAGUUGACCAUAGUAGAGCAAGUAUUCACCAUGCUUCCCAACAAGUUGUAUCAAAUGCCAAUUGGCUCAAUAUAGUAGACAUCAACAUACUAAAAAACACUCAUGAGCUAUGGAAUAUAUCCGCAAAUGACUGUUAAGACGUGGAAACAGGCUCAUACCUUACAAUGUUGGUGAAGAAUCCAAUCCUCACCUAACUCGACUUCCAUCAUUUUCACAACCUCUUGCACCUGCAAUUACAAAAGAUCCAUCGUUUAGGUCCUCUAAACGAAGAACCGGUACCAUAAACAGGGCAAGUUGAAUUGUGAAAAGAAUGGACCUUGUUUCUAUGUGCAGGGGAAUCAUUUUCUGAAACCAUAAUGAUGCGGUUCUUGUUGAACGAAGGCGAUGUGAACGCUUUCUCGUUCUGCCAACCCUGAGACCAAUUCAAAAAAAACAACAAUCAAUCUAAUAACCUCUACAAUAAUCAAAGAAACAGCUAUCUUCUUGAGCUUAAAAUGGGAUCCUAACCUUAAAAGGGAGUCCAUACAUAUAGUCCUUGUGAAAACUUUGAUGGUUCUUCUCGUCUAAUUCAUCUCCAGGAGCAUACUUAGCUCCACAUUGUGGGCAAUGUCUGAGAAGAAAAUCAGAUUGGCCCAACUCUAAGUGGAAUUGCGUAUAAUUGCGCUUCUUUUUGAGAUUUUUAGGUACAGAGGAAGAUCCUUUCUUCAGUGGCUUCCCGAUGCAUCCUUUAAGCACUUGACUUCUGAAUACCCAAAAAUAAGUGACACACAAACAGAAACCCAAUUAAUAAUGGCUGCAAGAUUAAAUCAAAGGGAUUUGCUUUAAGAAAACCCAGAAAAUCAGGGUCGCUUAUUUUCGAUUCAUCUGAAGAAAACAAAUAAUGUAGAAAUUCUCGAAGAACCUAAAGAGAAGAAAAACCGCCAAAGAUGAUCGAUUUACCUAUCGGGAAUCGCAGAUCGACGCUGGUAGGUGUUGACGAUGGCGUUCCGAUUGUUCUCCCAGACAGCUAAACCAUCGUCUGCGUCUGUUGUUACUGAGGCAGCGAUAGAAGAAGAAGAGGGCUUGAAGAAAGAAUUGAUUUUUGCUUGCAUCGUACAGAGAGAGCUCGAAUCCUUCUUAGGUCUGUGUUUGUUUUCCCCUUUACUUCUCUGAUUUUGGCGCCUAUGGAUUGAAUUUUUUGGCGCUAAUGAAAUUUUUUUGUUUUUUGCCGAUUCCUACCUAAACUUAUGUAAACCAAAGAAACCAGAAAAUGACAUUGGAUAAUUGAUGGGCCAUUUUGUGUAAUUGCAUAACUCAAGAUCAUUCCAAUUUAGUUCCAACGCCAUAAGUGGAAAAAUACGGCAUGUGAGGCCAGGAGACAAUUCAUUCGAGUCCAGAUUGUGAAUCAGUGUUGUGUUGUGAGAACAUUACAGCUUUGAUUUGAUGACGUCGAUUGAUGUUUGGAUAUCCAACUACAUUAGACAACGUCCAAAAUAAAAAAGAGCAGCAAGUGAAGUAUAGUUUGUGUGUGUUUUUUAUAUAAUUACAUGUAUGGAUUGGUGUAUAACAACAAUGUGUGCAUCGAUAUUAAUCUACGCUUUUCUUCUCCAUCUACUCCCUGUACUAUAUUUACCUCUUUCCUCUUCAAAAAGAGCCAAAAAAAGUAAGUGAGAAGCCGAUUCAUCAUCUGUCUGAUAACACCGAGUUGCUCCAUGACAACACAAAAUCUCGGAAAACAUUCGGUAAAUCUGCAUUCAAAACACAAGGAACCAAAUUCUUCAGAAUCAUACAAAACUACUUGCUAACUGCUAGCUAAAUCAAUGGCCCAAGGUGAAAUUUUUGCCCAUCGGUGCUUUCAUGUCUUGUUAUGUUAAGAAUGCAUAUCUGUGAUAGUCUUUUCUCUCCACAAGGCUUUAUUUGGUGCAAAAGCUUUUAUUAUUUGAAUGAUAGAUGAAGACAAAAUUAAAAGAAAGAAAGCAAAAUGGGGUUUUCCCUUUCUAUUACCUCGCACGACUUCCAUGGCCAGUGUGGGAAUAUCUACUUCGUCUUCAACCAAUCUGUAUACGUCCACAAGCUGAAAGAACAAAUGUAAAGUUAGUGCUUUAGAGUGUCAAUGGGGAUGAUAAGUGCUACAGAUAUAAAUCUGGUUGACGUGAGAUGUAUGAACAAACCUCUUCUACGUGAAGCUUCGAGUCCUCUGUGAGCGCAAGAAUAAGUUUCCUGCGGAUGCCUUCGUCAAGGAGGAAAAGACGAGCUCCGUCCUUAAUGGUAUCUGUCAAGUCAAGCUUACUCUCCCUGAAAGUUUCAUGAGUAAAAUACGGAUUUAGAAUUCAAGCUUCCCAGGGUGAACGAGUGAGAGAUUUUGGGAGCAAUGCUUAUAUAGAACUCGGUUACUUACACACGCUUUACUCGUAGAUUAGGAUUGCUACUCAUUUUGGCAACGUUUUCCUUUGCAAGUGAUAAAAGGUUUUCCAGCCUUUUCCAUUGGAAAACACCAUCUUUGAAUAGAACCUGAAAUGCGGUGGCAACAAGAGCUCUGAUUUCAGCUGAUGCGGAUAACAGUUCACCAUAGCAUAUAUGAAACUAAAUCAGAAUUAUCAAUCAACCUGUAUCAAGCGUUCCCGAAGUGCAGGAUUUGGAUCCGUUAGGAGCCGUUUUGCUACAUAUGGAUAAGCAACCUAGAUAAAAAGUUAGCUUUUAGUGUGGAAAGGGAAAUAUGGGUGAACAUAUAGCUAGUGUCUGCUCACUUCAGGAUUUACAUGUCAGCUAAAUCCUAAAUUUGAAAAGAAAAAAAUCAAAAUAUUAAACGUGACUUCACCUCUAGAAAUUUAAAAUCAGGCUUCAGCGUGAAACAUAUACCCUCCUGAGUAAGCAGAGAACGAAUAACAAGAGAGAACCGCUCCGGGAUACGGAUGGGAAAGUCGUACACAAGCUUGUUAAAUUGGCCUGCAAUGAAAAACGUGACACCAUUUCUUCAUAUGUGCAAGGGGUGCUCAGUAAACAAAAGAAACUUGCUUAAGGAAAGCAAUCUAUCAAGUACCUGUAACACUACGGAAAUUGAAAUCUGCAAGUCCUUUCCCUGCAGAGUUCUGCCAUAUGGCUUCUAAAGCUGGAACGAUAGGAGAAACAUCAGUAUCCUUGGCCAAGAACCCAAGCCUAGUGAAAUCAUUUGCCAUCUCCCCAUAGUCCUCAUUAACCGCAUGGACAACAGCAUCAAUCAAAAUUUGCUUGUUUUGCUGAGAAAAAAAAAAAGAUUUACUUUGGACUAUGAAUAACAAGUCUCUAUAUACAGAUGUGAUAAUCACUAUAGGAAGGGACAUAACCUAGCUACUAAAGGUUACUAGAUACCGUGGAACCAUUAAACUCAAGUUACCUGACUCAGUACAGCAACAUUACCGAAGUCCACAUAAGCAAUACGCCCAUCUUGCAUUGCAAAGAUAUUUCCAGGAUGUGGAUCUCCAUGGAACAAUCCAAAUUCUAACAGCUGCCUUAAAGCAGCACUUACGCCAACAGUCAAGAAUCCAUUUAAAUCAAUCCCCGCAUCCUUGAUGGCCUGAGUACAUUUAGUAAGAGUCAGUAUCAGAGUGGACUUUAAUUUUGACUUUUUAGGAGGGUAUAGAGGAAAUUUAUGUUGGCCCCCUUUUUGAAAGUCAACCUGUGGGUCAGUGCACCGAAUACCAUCAAUCCACUCCAUUACCAGAACCCGAGGACCACAAAGAUUCUUGUAUACUCCAGGAAUUUUGACUGUGGGGUCAUCUUUGAAGUUCUCCAGAAAGUCUUCAAUGUUUCUGGCUUCCUGUAGGCAAGAACUUAAGGUUAACCAGGAUUAUAUAAAGACUCAUCAUUUCAGAUCAUCAACACAGAAGAACGCAUAGAGUGAAAUUGAGAAGUAUAUGAGAUACCAAGGUGUAGUCAAGCUCCUCCAGAAGCUUUUCUCCAAAUUCAUCAACUAUUAGCUCUGCGUUGCAACCCAGUUUCUGUAGACUAAAGCCAUUUAAGAAUGAGGCGAGGGUUCGGAAAAGAAAGAGAUCCCGGUAAAUUAUGGGCUCUAUUUGUGGUCUCUGCACCUGCAUAUGCAUAAAAAAAAAAUGUCAAAUCCAACCUUUAAAACAGUUUCAGUUUGAUAAGCCUGUAUGAACUCUGUAGCCACAGUAUAAGUUUCCAUUUAGAAGAACCUUGAUAGCAACAUCCUCUCCAGUGGCACGUAGAGUAGCUCGAUAAACUUGUCCCAAGCUUGCAGCUGCUAUUGUUUCUGAAGAAAUCUUGCUAAAUAUGGCCUCAAGAGGUUGGCCUAACUCUUCCUCGAUGAUAUUGAAAGCAACCUACAAAGUCCUUCACCACUUAGCUUCACACGACAAUGGCAAAUGAUAAUAAGAAAAAUAUCUUGCUCUACAAAUUCCCCAAAAAGAUAAGACAUUUUACCUCGUUGGGGAAUGGAGGAACAUCAUCUUGGAGAAUGCAGAGCUCGUUCAUGUAGUCUUCACGGAUGAUAUCAGGCCUAUUUGCCAGAACCUGCCCCCCCCAUGUAACAGAUAUUAGAGAAGAUAACUUUGAGAACCCGGUUAAUGCCAUUUUCUAACAAAUAAGAUGGAUCCACAUACUUGUCCAGCUUUGAUAAAUGAAGGCCCCAAGUUGCACAAAAGGUUCCUAAGCUGGCGAGCACGAAAGGGGACAACUUCCUCGUCCCUUCCAACCAAAAAAUCAUACAUUAAGGUAGACCAAUACAACCCAAGAGUCCAAACAAUCUCCACACCCCUUGAAACUAGAGAGACGACUGCUCCUCUUGAUUCCAGCACUUUACUCCUCACCUGAUCACCAGUAAAUUCCAAUUCAAACAAUCAACAACAACAUAGAUUCCACCUAAGACACAAGACUCAAGUAAAUGCCAAGAAGAACCAGCUCAAUAAGUGAAUCAACAAAUUGCAACAGAGCUAAAAGAAAUUGAAAUUGACUGAAACUAACGCAUAAAUCGAGCUAGAAACAGAAACAGGUUAAAGAAGCAAAUCAUACAGUCUCCGGAGAAUACUUUCGGAAUGGAACGCAAACGCCUCGCUCGAUAUCCAGCUGCUCAAGCGCGGAGUUCGAUUUCCCUACUCGAAUACCUCUCUCCACCCCGCUCAUCGCCGUUGUCAUUACCGAAGCAUCCGUCGAAUUUCGACCACCAACAUCCGUCGCCGCCGCAGUAACUGAAAAAUUAGAAGUCCGUACAGCCGAGAACGUCCUGCUCCGCCGCAACUCCACGGCGUUGAGAGAUCGCAAAAGAGCAUCUCUCCGAUCAAGAAGAGCGCGAUUUAUUCUCCGAUGACGCUGAUUUAAGGAGAAAUUAGGGUUUACUAAACUAUUGCAGUGGAUUGACUCCAUGGAUGAUGAGCUACGGAGGAUGAUGAGCUACGGAGAAGCGAACAGUGGAUACGUUUCCGUUGGACGACAAACUAUUAAUUACCGAAAAUGGAAUAAAUCGACUACCAACCACAUAAGAUAAUAAUUAUUUUUUGUUUUUAUCUUUUAUUUCCUGGAAAGUAAAAGAACCUUAUCUUCAAAAAGCCACAAUAGAUGUAAUCUGUAGCAAAUCGACCCCAAAACUUUUUGUUGUUUCUUUCUACAUCCCACUUUUUUUUUUGUUGGUUUGUAUACGAUACGUGAUAGUAUUUGGCGUCAAGCAGAGAAGAAGCUGCGAUCGAGGAAAGUCUUGUGUGGCCAAGAAAGGUGCAACGUUUUGGCAACUAAACAAUACAUGUUCGUAUGGUAAUUGACUACUUACAAUUGAAUGAAUGAUAUUAUACCAACGGAUACUAAUAUUUAACAACAAAAUUACCAUUAUUAAUUUGAUAAUUAAAACUUUUUUUUUUUUUUUUUUUUUUUUUUUAAAUAUUUUAUUAAAACCACCCUAACGGGCUUGGGCCGAAGCCUACACACAAACCAAUCCAGUUACAAAAAGGUAAAUCGGCAUCUCGCCGGAAAAAGAAGAAAAGCUCGCCCCUUGUUGAUAGACGCUCGUAGAGCAACCGGAGCCUUAAAUCUGGCAGAUUCAAGACCCACCGCUUCGUGGCCGCGUCAGAAAAUCGACUACCACCGACGGAAGAAUCUGGUUUCCGUCAGAAGAGUCUCUCCUCCGACGCACCAACCCGCCACAAGCCUCCCAGAAAGCUAGUCACUCCAACGCAGCGCAUCGACGGAGUCGGAUCCCGACCUAGCAACCCGACCCACUGGGAGGUAACCCUUUUCUCCCAAAACCGGUAACACCAAAAAACCUGAAUCUUCACGCAUCGAUCCGGACCGGUGGAGACCAGAAGCGGCGGAUCUAGAGAACGUUGGCUCGCCGUGAACCUCUAAACCCGAACCCCGCAUCAGCCCUCUAAGAUCCAAACAGAUCCACAGCUAACCACCGCGUCGGACAACGAACCCCCCUUAUCCCCUCCAACUUCCGCCGUGGACGCAGCAACUAGAUCGACGGGUGAGCCUGAGGCGCAUUGCAGCAUCUCCCGGCGUCCUCAACCGCGAGACCACCGCUGCAAAACUCCUCAUCCGUCAGAACCAGGGCCACAACCACAUCAGAGAGGAAACACCACACCGCCGUUGACGGAGAUACGCUCCGACUCACUCCUGGACCGCCUUGGAGAAGCCUCGAACCGAAGAUUGAAGAGCAGAACGGAACGAAAGAACCCUAGAUCUGGUUGCCGGAAAUCGUCUUCAAGAGAGAGAGAAAUGCACAGCUAUCGAGGCAACGAUUGGGCCGUAUCUCUUGAUAAUUAAAACUUACUCGAAUCUUUUUUUAGGUUUUAUAACAAUGA